rnacentral:lncRNA from 1 species
GCAGAUAAUCGGCGUGAGCAUCCAUCUUUCUCUCUCUCUCUCUCAUCACAAGCAAGCAGCAGCUCUAUCCGGUCGGGUGUGGCAUAUGUGGCGUCUAUCUUGUACUCUUGUCGACCUAUUGUGCGUGUGUGGCGUCAGUCUGUGAUGUGUGCAGCUGGAUGUGCAUCCAUGUUCAUGUGAGUGGCGCUGUACAGGUUGAGGAAGUGGGUAGUUGCAGGCAUAGGAAGUUGCUGACUAGCCGAGGAGGAUUAAGAUUGGUAUGACAUGAUUAGGAUAGUUCCUUGAUCUUGGUCAGAAAAACUGAUCACUCCUUGAUCUUCGUCGAAAGAAUUGAUAGUUCCUUGAUUUGUUUUGGUCUGGAUUAGUACAACAAUGCACUGAUAUUUGUUUUGUAGUGCGGGAGCUUCAAGACAGCAGGGCAGCAGGCUUCACUACAACAUAUUCGUCUAUGAUUUUCUCCCCAAAUCUGAAAUUAUUUGGCCCCUAAAUUUUAAUCCCCGUGAGGAAGUCAUGGUAUUUAUGGACUAUGGUCUAUGCAUGUUGACAAAUUUGAUUGAAGGGUUGGCAAAGUAAGUGUAGUGCUCACCGUUGCAUAUAUAUUCAGGGCAACAUCAAACUUCAAUCAAAAGAAUUUGACCAGGCAGGGAUCUUCAUGAAGCAUUGGAAGUGAGAAAGCUUGUUGUAGAAUCAGUGCCCCCUCCACUCUGCAUUGUCCCUUUGCAUUAUCCUCGACGACAACUCGGGCCACCUUGCUACGAAGUGCGACCACUUGAUCUUCAACCUGUCGGAGAAAAAAGAGUUGAAAUAGCCAAGCAACUUUUAUUGCAUGUUAAUUAUAUGGUCUCCUGUACUGAACAUUUUUCUGCAAUCUUUGUAUUUGCUUUGCUUGAAAAAGCUAGGACUGAACUUUUGGUCCGUUUUGUGUUAAUGACUAAAUGCUUUGUACAGGAAAUCAGUGCUAGAGAUUAGAGUUACUUCAUGUAUAAUACUCCCUUUGUCUCAUAAUAUAUGAUGUUUUUUGAGGUAGUAGCAAAUAUAUUUUGUCUGCUUUCUUCCACAAGUAACAUGUGUGACCGCCCUCCACCCACUUCCCCAUUCUCAACAAGCACCAGAACGUGGCUUUGAUUCUUCCAAGUAGGUAGGAAUAAACAAAUCCUUCCCAAAUUAUGAGUUGUUAUUCUACUGAGCAAACAGAAUGCCCAACAUUCCAGUUUUUGAUGUUAAGGCUCACAAGAGAUGCAUAUGUAUCAUAUUUAAUAUAAUAUCUGCAUUCUUCCUAACUUAGUUUUUUGUUUUGUUCAGAAAGGAUAAAUUGGUGUUUGAUUCAACUGCAAUCCUACGAUGUUUGCUCGAGAAGGCAUGUACUUUAAUAAAGGCAUGAUGUGCAUUUUUCAUAGGUUGACAAACUCUUAUCAAUGAACAACUUUUUGUUUUUUGUUUCCAUUGUAACAUCAACCUUACAUCAUACAUCUUAUCAAUGUUUGAACUGAAGGUAUACAAGAGAGGGCAUGUACUUAAUAGUUUUAGUGUCAAUAUAUUCAGACGACAUGGAUCCAUCAUUGAGUAGAGGAAGACCAUGGAAAGGGCGAGGCAUAAUGUACUGGCAGCAGUAGGUAGCCUUCUGAUCAUAGCAUUGUUCAUAAGAAGUUUUAAAUUGAAAAAAAAUUGACUGCAACGGUUAGGCAUAUAUGGUAUGCAAGUUUAGAGAUGGAUAUAUCAAGUUUACUAUGAACUAGAAUAGGGAUGGUUUGACAAACAACACACUUCAGGCUAACAUUUCCAAAUGGUUGUAGAAAGAACCUACUACUGGUGAGUUAAGUUUACUUUUCAAAAUUGAAGCUUACCAGGGGCAAUAUGGAGUCAUUUGUUACUAUUAUGGUGUUACACAUUCUUCACCUGCAAAUAUGCUCAGUUACUAAACAAGUAGACAUGAUAGUUGGGAUGCAAAGGAUUUGUAGGAGCAUUUUUCUUACAUGCAAAAUGUCAAUGCUUCUCUCUUGCAAUAUCUGAAGUUAGAUUAGAACAAAGGAUCCAGAUUAAAGCAAUCCUAAUUUCUUAUUCUAAAUUGCACAGUUUGUGUGGUCGGCAGUCUUGGAGACACCGGUUUAUCUUUUCCCAUUCCUCUCAUUUGUGUUCUCAUUCCUUUCUCUCAGUUAGUGCAGAUUCGUCAUAACGACUGCUUUGUUUGUUCACCUAGGAUUGAUGGUGUAGAAGGCAGCAGUAGUGGUCUGCUGCAGAUCACAAGGCCUUGCAUUCUGAGGUUCAUUUUUGCCUUCUUAGGAGAUGUUGCUCAUUGUCCAAGUGUCGCUGUGUUCAUCAUCUCUAUAUUCAGCAUAACUAAGAGUAAAGUGUCAGUGACUAGCGCAUCAAACUAUAUUCAUCAUCUCCAUUUUUAUGGCUUGAUAUUGAUUGGGGUUUGGGGAUUGUGAGCAAUUAGGGAAGGUAGAACAAUGAAGAAAUCAAGGAGUUUGCCAAAGAAAUUGCAGUGCUUUAAGAAUUUGGCAGUAUAUCCAAUGGAAUCUCAUCUCUUUAAUGAUUUCUGCGUCUAAAUGCACAAUUGGUUCAUGGAGUCUGCAGAGCGUAUGUCUUCCAGGAGCUUCUUGAAUUAGGUAGGAAAAAAGUGUGGUGAGUAUGUUAUUUCAGACAAGAAUGGUAGCUAUUGAAUGCAAUUCUUGUCCAAAAUUGCAUUCAGUAGCUACCAUUGACAGACCACUGAACUAUGGUGCCAAAAUCUUACACUAGAGAUAAAAAUUACCAUUUUUGGCUAUUCUAACUCCAAUAGACACAAUUUUUGUACCACCUCAAAAAAGACUAUAUUUAAUCUACAAUAUGAUCUCUACCCAGCUCCCUGCUCUUGACAGUUUCACACGAAAACAACAUAAAUGUGUGUGAUCUGUGUGUAGGCACACACAUGCGCAUGCUUGCUCAUAAUGUGCCUAGCUUAGUCUCCUGAGACUGCUUUAUCCCUUUUGUCCAGGGCGCCGCCGGUAAGGUGCUCAAUGUUGUGGUCCAUGAGCGUCCAACCAUCCUUGUCAGCCCAUUUCUAUAACUGGCGUUGUAAGAACGCUGCCCUCAAUUGAUCAUGGCAGUGUUUGCUCCGUAGCUCCCACCAUCAUUACGAGUCCAUGAAAUUACAAUUCGGUGUAGCGAGGGGCUCUUGAAAGCGAUGUGUUGAAGUGUGAUGAUCAAACUUGUCAUCUUGGGAUUGAUAAUGUUCGUCGUAAAUAAAAAAUGUGACUAUUAUUUACGGUGGGGCGAAAAGUAGAAGUGACAACAGCAUGAAUAAAAAACAUGACCACCAUUUAUGGUGGGGAAAAGAGUAGAAGUGACCACACGGAUGAAUAGCUAGAAGUGUGCGAGUAUUUUAUUUCCCCGUUGCAACGCACGGGCACAGUUACUAGUGUACCUAAAAGCACCAAGUUAAUAUUAGAAGCUAAACAGCAAUUGCACAAUGAUGUAGUACACUACUCUUUUAUAAUAUCUUAUAACAUCCAAUAUACUCACAUAUUAGAUGAAUUAAUAUCUUAUAUUAUGGGCCGGAAGGAGUUUAUUGCAUUCUAACAAAUUAUCGGCUGAUUAAGUAUUGUUGUAUCCAUGGGUUAGAGUUAGUUUGAGCUAGUUCUGGCUCAAAUAGCCCUGAAGUAUAUCCAAACAUGAGGGCUAGUUUGAUCCAGUUGCAUCUAACCCACCAAAAAAACCUAUCCAACCCAAGAGGUGCUAAUUGGAGCUAGUUCUUCUAGUGCAUUUAUUGCCAAUCUAACCCUGUCAUCCAAACACCUUUUUGGAUGGAGUUAGUUUAGGGUUAGUCAUGGGCUAGAAGCUAACUCUAACCUCUAGCUAAGUUGAGUAUCCAAACAGGGAUGUGUUGUUGUUGUUGUUGUUGCUGCUGCUCUUCUAUGUAUAUCUAGACAUCAUCAGAACAUUAAGGUAACACCCUUCCUUAUUGCUAUGUAGCCUAGGAUUGCAUAUUUAGACAUUAAGUACAGUGCAUAUUGCUAUGUAGCCUCAAAUAUAUUACAUAUGGCCCUAGUUAACAUAACGAUAAAUGGGUUACAGAUAUAUUCAGUUAAAAGUCCAAUUCACCGAUUAGUCCCUUACCAGCCCCAACCUAUAUGGAACCAGCUACUGAUAUCCUGAACAGUGAGUAUAUAUAAGCCAUGGGAUGAAACUAACCUCGAUGGAAAAUGGCAGUCGUUCCCAAAAUUGCCCUGUGUAGGUACAUCGAGAGGCAUGUUAAGCACAACAGGCUAAACAUCAACCAAAAUUAUCCAUGGCAGAUAAAAUAAUCUCGAAAAGAUAGCUUCAGUGUGAAGGUUUAAGCACGCUAGUAAAGCAAAACAAGUGGAAAGGUGUGGUAACUGCAACAGGCCUAACAUUUAACAAUGAGCAAACAUAGUCAUUCAAACUAGUAUUGUGCCGGUCUAAGUACACUGGUUAUUGUUAAAUAAAAAUGGAAAGGCGUGUUAACUACAAGAUGCAGCAACCAAAUGUAGUAAUUCAUAGUGUAUUGUUGAAACUGGUAUUGAAGAAAUUGAACUUCACACUUCAUACUUGCACAUAUAGAACAUCAUGUUGUGAAUAACUGGAAUAAACAAGGCAUACUACGAACAACCAAAGAUAGCAUUUGAAACUAGACAUAUGCUAACUACAAACAACUGAACAAUCAAAAAACUUUAAAAAAGGCAUAUGCUAGCUAUAACAGGCUUAACAGCAAGCAAAUAUAUGCAUUCCUAUUGGUAUGUUUAAAACUGGAUCGAUGAAAUGUUCUGCAUAGUAAAUAAUUGCACAUAUAGAGCAUCACAUUGUGAACAACUGAAAUAAACAAGGCAUACUGAAAACAACCAAAUAUAGAAAUUAAAACUGGACAUAUUCUCACUACACUAUAAAAGGGACUCGACAAAAGAAAUCAUGGGUUUCCCCCUGUGAAGAGGCACGGCAAAAAAAAUCCUGAGUUUUCUCACUUGUCACAGAUGGCUCGUUCCCGUGGGAAGAGCACGGACCCUGGAUGCGCUCCAUGUUGUCGUAGAUGGGCUCCUUCCCCUUGGAAAAGCACGGUUGUAGGGUGCCCUCCCUGAUGUCGUAGAUGGGCUCUUUCCCCUUGGAAGAGCAGAUGGGCUCUUUCCCAUUGGAAGAGCCGGAGAGGGUGCCCUCCUCGUGGUCGCCAUUGAUGAGGUCUGACUUGGAAGCUGUGGAUCCCAAGCCAGCGUUGCAGAAUGUGUCCUUCAGAAAUGACAAAAGAGGCUCAAUGGCGAUGUAGGAUGGAAAAUUCUUGAUAGCGAGCCAGACAAGAUCAGUGGCAGGGCCAUGGAUGAGAUCAACGGCGGCUGAACCCGAGGGGUUGGGGUUGGGCCACUUAACCUGUGACAUAGCCCGCCUUAGGCCGUCGCUGUUGACGACCUCGAUGCCAUAGCCGGCGUCCGCGACAUACCCGCAUACUCUAGCCCGUUGAUUGAGUGCAUGCUGCCAGUAAUAGUCGUCAGCUUCCUCGGCGACGUCGGGCGAAGAGACCUCAAUACACCUCUUUUGGGCUAGUCGCUCCUCGAGCUCCACGGAAAGCGUAGCCGGGCUUAGGCUGCGACACUCUGGAGUGGGGGUGGGGAUGGGGAUGCGGGUCUAUGGGAAAGGCGGCGUUUGGCAGGCGUCAUCUAAGAAACUCAAUAUGGCAUGGGUAUGGAGAUCGGUAGGUAAGCUGCAUGGGCAAACCAGCAGAUGUUGACAAUGGAGGCCUUGCGGCGGCGGCAGCAACGGCGGGGACCUAGCUAGGGUUUCGAGCGAGGGAGCGUGUGUGCGCGCGCGCGCGCCCGAGGAGGUUUUCGUGUGCGUGUGUGGAGGGGAGCGGGGGUGUGUUUGAGGAAAUGACACGGGUACUGAAAAUUUUACUACGCGAGAGUCAAAGGCGGGAGUGAAAUGCCGGGGCUAUUGAAAAUUUUGAUGAUGGUGCAUCGCACACAGUCUGGAGAUAACAACCGUGUGUUAUGAAACAUAAAAACCCUCGAGGCGGGCAGAUAUUUUCAAGGGAUGUAGGUGGGAUUGGGAACAAGAAACAUCACACACAGUCGAAACAUAAUAACUGUGUGUUAUCAAACAGAAAAAAGCUGCAGGCGGGUAGAUAUUUUUGACAGGGGAAGCCUCAUGGAGCCCAAUGUACUGUGCGGAUGUGCGUGACAGGGGCACCGGCGUGGCACAUAGUUAGUUUGAGUGAACCAUGUCUGUUGCGUCAUCCGACUUGUCUAAUGAGUGAGGGUUAGGUUGACGAUGCAUAUGUAUGUCGCUCCACACUUCAAGCCGACGACGGGGAUUCAUGCAUGCAUGUGUGCAUAGUAUAUGCGCUCAAACUUAAUUAGGUCUGAAUCUCACCAUGACCUAUACUACGAUAACACGAACCAAAGGAAGAAUCCGCCAUGGUAACCUAUCUUGUUGUCGGUCAAGGUGAUCAUGGAUGUCCACGCGGGCCCACGAAUAUAUAGGCUUGUCGCCAAUAAUCACACGAGGGAGUGUACUGUUUGAAGACAACCACUACAUGCAUAUGUAUGGAGGUGAUGCAUGCAUGCAUGUUUGAAUACCAUUUCACAACAUUGAUGUGGCACGUGUGUCAAAAAUCAUACAGUCCCCACACAUAGCGAGAUCGGUUCAUGAUGUGUCGUUGUACUAGCCACUUCGACUCGAUGGGAGGGAUUCAUGUGUACACAUGCAUGUGUGUGUGUUCAAACUGUAUCAUGUCAUCCCAGAGCAUGACCUAUAUAUACCAUAUUACAAAAAAAUCCCCUCCUAAGUCAAAUUAACCUCUCUCGUUGUCAGGCAAAAAGUGGUGAUGGACCAAGUGGGCCCACAGAUGGAAAGCCUUGAUAUCGCUGAUAACCGCUUAAGUGGGUGCGAGAGGACAACCACCAUCGCUCUGCAUGUGGGCCAAACAUAUGUUGAAUACCCAAAAUGCACAACUUUGAUGUGCCACAUGCCUCAAAAACCGUAAACCCCUCACACGGAGCGAGGUUCAUGAAGUGUACUACAUAUGAUGGUCCCCUUCCCCCUCUUCGACACAUACUAUAUGCUCCUACCGUAAUACAACCCAAAAAGAAUCCUCCUUGAUGGUGAAAUUAAUUAACCUCUCCUGAUGUAGGUCAAUGUGAUGCAUGCAUCGACGAUGGCCUUGUGGGCCCACAGAUGAAAGUGUCACACAUGAGUGUCCUAGCUAGGAUAACCACCGCCUGCAUGCAUGGGGCCCAAAGAGGUGUUGUGUGAUGUUUGAAUAGCCAAUUUCACAACUUUGAUGUGGCACGUGCCUCGGAAAUCGAAAAGUCCCGACACUGAGUGAGGUGUACUUGUUCACGGACGCGUACGUAUAGUAUAUAUGCUAGUCCCCUCCCACCUCUUCGAUGCGUACUAUAUAUAUAUACUCCCACCAUAACACAAACAAAAAAGAUUCUACCUUGCUGGUCAAAUUAACCUCACUGCCGGUUGUUCGUCAAAGUGAUGGACGACGACCUCGCCAGCCCACAGAAAGCGUCACACACGAGUAUCGAGUGUCGUGUAGGACAACCAUCGACUGCAUGUGGCCAAAACAUUUAUGUAUGAAAGGGUUGUGUAAUGUUUUAAAUAAUGAAUUCACGACUCUAAUGUGGCACCUGCCUAACAAAACGGCCAACCCACACUGUGGCUCACAACUCGUAGUGUACUGCGAGCCACCGCCACCCGCAGACACACACACACACCCACCCACACACCACGAAUCCACACAACUAUGAUGCAUGUUAAUUUAUCCCGCGGUGAACAUAUGUUACCAAAGGAGGGACGUUUCAAUUGCAAAAAACAGAGGUCAUUAAGACGUUUUAGUACAUUGAUUGAUUUUCUACGGGUAUAAUGUGCAAAAAUCAAAUUUGAGCUACAUGCAGACGUUACUAUGCACCUAAAUGGAUUGCAAAAACACAUGUGUCUCACUGGGUGCAUGUUUACUCCCCAUCCAAGAAAUUUGAAACAUUGAGAAUCUUGAUUUUUAAAUUCUAGUACAUCCAAAACUUAUUUGAAGUUCAUGGAACUUAUCAUGUUGUCAUAUAGACACCAAUACAAAGUGGCAUUGUACUUUUUUGUCAAAUUUGAGACCAGUUUUGAUGUAAUCUUUAUCUAAUUACAAACGGGAGAUUAUUAAUAAUUGGGAACCAAUAUCCCAAAUGGAUUAUUUAUUCGAACCGUGAGCGUUAGACCAACAAUGGAUACGUUUCAUGCUUCGGUUAAGCAAUAAAGCGGCAGCAUUAAUCAUCCAAAUAGAAAAACAAUAUACGUGCCGCCACGUGACCCAUGUGCCGUGCGAGCAGGCGUGAGUUGACGGGACGCAUGCGAGCAGUCCGCCAUGCAGGCAGAUCGAGAGGCGUGCGUGGUGGUGUGUGAAUUGACGGAGGCAUGCUUGCUGUGCAGUGUCAUCGGGAGGCGUGCGAGUAGCUGUAUGAAACGAUGGUAGGCAUGCCAGCAGUCCGGUGUGAAGGCUCACCGGGAGGCGAGCCAGCGGUUUGACCGCCGCCCACCUCUCUCCCACUACUCUAUAUUAAUGGUGCGCCCGAGCGGCCACACCCCCCAUCCUCGCCACACACACAAUCCUCUCUCUUCGAUGGCACCCUCGACGCCGCUCUCAAUCCUAAAAGCCGUCAGUGUAUGAGGAUGUAGCCGAAGCACCCCAUCGGAGGGAGUGGCGACGUAGGGGCUGCUGAAGCACCGGAGCACGACGUGGAGAUGGAGACAGAGGUUGCCGUCACCGCCGAUGAGUUAUCGCUGCACCCUGACAUCAUCGACGGCGUCGAGCUUCCACAGCCGGAGGCAGAGUUCGAGUUCCACACCGACUCUAGUGAUGACCCCGGCGACGACUCCAACGACGACGGACAACUGGUUAGUCAUUUGUACCCAUUUAUGUGUCAAAUAGAUCCUAGGGUUUCUCUAGUUACUCCUGCCUCCCCCUUUUUGGAAUAGAAAUCCUAUGGUUAUGUUCUCACAAUGCAUGAAUUGUGAGUAAGUUUAGUGAGACCCGUGUAGUGUAUUGAUUGUUUGAAUGGUACAAGUGAUAAGUGAUUAGUUGUUUCAUCUGUGCAAAUGAUUUCUGCUAGUAAUUCGACUAGGGUUAGUGUUCGUGUUAAUAAUUCCUAGCCAGGACUUGACAAUUGAUUUUGAAUGACCUACAUAUAUGUUUGUGCCAUUAUUUUCUUCAAGAUUGGUCUGUACAUAGACGACUGUGCUUAAAAAUCGAACCAUAAUCUCUGGAUAUGUAUAAAAAAUAGCCAUAAAUUCCUAAUCCUACUUCACGACAUGUAAACAUUGAAUUGAUGCCAAGUUUGUUUUACUAUUUGUAUAGGUGUUGUCUGACGAUGCGGACAGCGAUGACGAAGAUGUCCAAAGGAGGUACAAGAGGCAAAUCCCGAGGGAGCUUUAUGCGGGAAUGCAUAACAGGCAUAUUAGGACCUGGGAUGGCGGCUAUCGAGGCCCAUUUUGCAACCACAAGCUUCAUGACGCGUAUGAAAGUGUUUUGGCACAUGCAAGAGGACGGGCUGUUGGCUCCUUCAAGCAGAAGUAUUCUCGCAGGGUGGUGCACGACGCGUACGCCGAGUACCUGGCUUCAGGAUUGUGACGACAUCUGAGAUGAGAUGUGGGAUCGAACUAUGUAUGCUUGAGUAUGCUUAAUGAUGGUUGAACUAUGUACUUAUGAUUGAACUAUGCUUGUGUACGUGUACGCUUAUUAUCUAUGUCUGAGUAUGUUUACCUAUGUUUACUUAUGUCUAACUGUGGGAUAUGGGUGCAAUCAGUUUGAUUGAUGGAAUCUACCUCCGUCCUCGUUUAUUGGUCCCCUUUGUAAUUUGUGUUAAAUUUUGACCAAAGAUUUAACUGACAAAAUGUUAGUGUAGGUCGACAAAAAUUAUAUCAUUGGAUGCGUAUUUGAACAUAGUGUUCAAUGAUAUAAUUUUUUGUGACAUGAAUAAACAUUUCUUAGUUAAAUAUUUGGUCAAAAUUUGGUGCAAAUUACAAAGGGGACCAAUAAAUCAGGACGAAGAUAGUACGUCAAUCAUACAUGGUUCCCAAAAUUGGAACCAUGUGCAAUGACUUUCACUUUGCUAGUUGCGUCAAACAGACACGGUUGGCUCUAGCAAACCAUUGCCUCCGAAAUUCUUUGUGGGACAGAAAACCCUCACCACCCAAUUCAAAAAAGAAAAAAAGAAAACCCUCACCAUCCCCACAUCACAAAAACCCUCACCCCACCCACCACCCCCUCCGGUCCCCAUUCACACCUGCACAAGCUCCUUCGCGUCUGUGCAUGGCACCGACUAUCACGGCGGUAACCACUUAGCUCGACGUCUCCCACCGCCGCCAGGCUGCCGGCAAACCCCACCGCAUUUUGCCACUUCCGCUUAUCGCCGCCUAUCGCCAUCAACUUUCGCGCUGCUGCUCGCGGUCGACCCAUCUCCGCUCGGUUGGGGAAUCUGCCGUACUGGGGGUUCUUUCUCAUGGACAACAAGGUAACUAAUUUAAUGAGAUAUUAUCUCAUCUCUUAUCCCAGUUCAUCUGCCUCCUUUAAUCACCUGGCCAAAAUCGUCGUGAAUUCAUUUUUAUUCGAGAUGAUUUGAGGGUUUUCUUUCAUCCAUAGAGUGUACAGUGUGCAGAAACAUCAGGACUUUGCGGCCUCCGCCAGACAUUCCAUCUCACCGUACCAGAUGAUUUGAGGAUGCGCGCGGCUUGUUCAAUCUCAUCCUAAAUCGGUUGGCAUGGCCUACUUUCCUGAACAUAUACUAAAUAUUUCUACAUUUGGAUAAAAGGUGCCACAUGGAUCAUAUACAUCAAAGGGGAUUUUCCCCUCUUCUUUUUUAUAUUAGGCAAAUUAAUGAUGUAUUGUUCUUUCGGUUACUCUCAUAUUUCCAUGACAUCAUGUUUACCCUAUCUGUUUAAUUAUAGAUUUUUGUCCUUCGAUUUUAGUUGAUGUACAGUUCUUUCAAUUUGGGCCCAUAUUUGCAUGUUACCAUAUUUUGUUUAACAAUCCUACCAUUUUCUGCAACGCGUCCCUUGCUAUGCAACAGAAUCUGUAGUGCACAAUCUUUCCCUUUACAUAAAUCAAGACUGCGGGGAUGUCAUACUGAACACAAACCAUGGAUUUACAAUCGUUGCUACUAUAAGACUUGAUGAACGUGGUGACUCCUAUUUUGGCACUGGCCUUUGGAAAGAAAUUUCUAAGAUUUAUGUACUAAAAGCUAGCACUAAAAUUGCAUUGUACAUAUAAGAGCCUGGUCAUGAGAUAUACGCUAACUUCCCCAAUGAUAUCAUCUGUCCAGACUUUGUUCGAAGUAAGUUUUCUUUUCAAGUAUCUGCAUGUUGACUUAUCAAGUAAUAUCAAAUGAAUUGUGUAGUAUUUAAGCAACCAAUUGUUAUUCCAUUUUCUUACGAUAUUCCUAUCUAAUAACUUCUAGUUAUCAAUACACUGUUCUAUUGCCCUAUUUUAACUAAAUAUUCGCUGUACUCCCACUUCUAUCAGAAAACGCCGCUGACAAGGAGACUCCGGAGGUGGAGAACGGGGCUGCCAACAAGCGGAGGCGGGGCGAGCAAGAACCGCAAGCGACUCCAGCAGGCCUAGACUUCAUCAGCAGCCUCCCCGAUGAUAUGCUGACACUCAUCAUCUCCCUCCUCCCAAUCAAAUAUGGGGCGCGGACAAGCGUCCUUUCCCGGCGGUGGCGCCCCCUAUGGAACUCCACCCCUCUCGACCUCAUCGACAUCCACGAGCUCUGCCAUGGCUAUCGCAAAAGCUUGGAUGUGUUCUCCAAGAUCCUCGGCAGUCACCUUGGCCCAACCAGAGGCCUUAGAAUAAGCAAGUUUUGUUCCAAUGGCAAGGACCGAGCCAAGAUUGAUGACUUGUUCUGAUCCCCCGCCCUAGAUCAGCUCAAGGAUCUCACUUUUGAUGAUGGGCAUAUGCACUUGCUGCCAACGUUCACGCUCCGCCUCGCGCCCACGCUGCGCGUCGCCAAGUUCAGGAACUGCUAUCCCCCCUUAAUGACGCUCCCACUCUUAUUCUACCAUCACUGGAGCACCUCGAGCUCGUCAUCUUCUGCCUCCCAAAUGGUUACAUGGAAUGCCUGCUCCGUGGCUGUACUACACUCGAGUACCUUCGUCUUCAGGCGAUCAAUGGGUUGAGUAGCUUCCACAUCACCUCCAUGACUCUCUGGACUAUUUAUGUGUGUUGUUGGUGCGGCAAGAAGACAUCAUAAGAUGUGUACCACAGUAUGGUCACUGAGGACAAACCUGCACUUGAGAGAUUACUUGUAGUUGAUCAAGAAGGUCCAACAAGAAUCAAUGUCAUUUCUACGCCGAAAUUGACAGUGGUGGGUUACUCGUCUAACAAAUACUCCGAACUUGUUAUUGGAUCCACACCCAUUCAGGUACAACAGCCGCCGUCUACCUCUCCUUCUACAAAUUAACAUUAUGUAAUUUUGAAGAUGUAUGUCCGUCUGUCAUCCAGAAAAUGAUUCCGACAAGCUUGACCCCGAAACUGCGCACAGUGAAGGUCUUGGCACUAGAAUCUAUCGGCCCCAACCUGGAGAAGUUCUAGUUUCUUGAGAUUCUUUCCGUGCAUGGAGAAGCUAUAUAUCGAGGUGAUGUUCCUUUCCUGUUAAAUGUUAACCAUAAGGGUGUUCAAUUCGUGACACCUUUUUCCAAGUUUACAAUGAAAAUGUACUACGAUUUCUGAAGGAUUCUUUUGGAGGAUUUCAGUACAUACAUGUCCCCCCCCCACACACACAUAUUGGUUGCUUGAUCCAUAUGGUUACAAUCCAUAAGCAUUUCUCCUUUGAAUUCAUCUGUACUAGUUUUCUUAGGGAACUGUUCAUUCAUUCCAACCUCUUGUGAAGAAGGCUACAUUUUUCUAGAUUGUAAUCAAAUGCCCAUGUUAAUCAUGUCAGAUUGAAGAUGGCAUGUUCGUGCAUUUUACAAAUCCUGCAAUACAAAUAAUAGGCCUGUAGUAGUGUUCAAAACUGCAUGUAGGCACUAACAUGUUUUCUUCUUUUGCAGAUAAGAUUAGGCCCGGUGGUGGACAUUGUGAUAAAAUAUAACAAUCACGUCGACUGCCUAGAUCUGCAUCUCUCAGAAAUUACUUUGAACUCCUAUCGAGGGACAUUACCGGAGAUUAUAUUCGCCAGCUUCUUUCUUGUCAGAGCAAGGGUGCUGAAGGUAAUGAGGUUUUCCCUACAUUUAUUUCACAAAAAUGAAUGGUUUGUUGAUCAGCGUCGGCACUGUGGUAGAAUGGAAUGGGCUCCAAAAAUACUGAAUUUUAUUUUGGAACUUCAAAUGACAGAGUAAUCGAAAGUCAUCGUGUCAACCCCAUACAUGACUUCUCAGUGGCUGAUCCCUUUGCCAAAAUUAUGAGGUUUCGAAACCAGACUUAGAAGUGGUAAUAUUAGUUUGAACCUGUCUGAUAUCCAUGUUCAGCGGAUCAGCGUGAGUGUUUGCAGCUGAUGAGCUGAAUUUCAUUUCUAAUAUUAGUUUGAACCUUGCAAUCUUCGAAUUUGAGCCAUAUAACUCUGGAAUUUGAACCUUGUAAUAUUUCGAGCUUUUGUGGUACAAUCGUUGAAAUGGCAUCGUAUGAGACUCGUAUAUUGGUAGCACUAUUUUGACCUUAAUAUGCAAUGUCUUAGAUUUUAUUAACCAUUCUCGAAUCUGUUUACCUUGGAUCUCAUAGCACACAAUCUGUAUAGCUAACUCGACUGUGACCUUCAACAUUAUUGCACAUAGUUGGUUUCUUCAACCGUGUGCCCUGUAGAGCGAAGAAUUAGUUAUCGCACUCAAGUGUCCAUCAUCACCCUUUUGUGUAACUUUGACCUCAUCACCCACGGGUAAUCUUAUGAUCGAAGUCAUUCCACACACUUUGUUUUACAAUUUUUUUGCCAAUAAACGCCCACGAUUUGUCCCUCUUCUAGCCGACAUGUGGCCAAACUAGCUGGGCGGGAAGCUUGCGUGGUAGCGCGGGAACAGGCUCACCGACGAUACAUUUGGCACCUCUUCAAGCCCACACGUGGUCAAACAAAAUGCAUGCGGUGCGGUGUUGUCAAGCGUGCACUGGAAUCCUCCGCUAUGAAUGUUGUGACAAGACAUGACGAUUACAGGCCGGCUGGCCCCCAGUUAUUAUAGCGGUCAUUUAACCCUUGUGUCUCCUCAACCUUUCGAUCGCACCCCAACAUUUCAAGAAGCACACCCACCAUGACAAAUUAUUAGAGGAUAUCCUGCGCGGCUCCAAUGGCGCUCCGAGCGGCUGCCAACGACGAGCAGCAGUUUACCAUGCAUACCAUGGUGGACACCUACAAAAGUCUCGUGGAGCUCUUAAUGGUGUACACCAACAACCCGGUCUGGGUGGAGCACCCCAUCCACAUCAUGGAGUUGUUUCUUGCCAAGGAGAAGUACAAGGUGGUCGGGUUGGACAUCGAGUACACCUGCACUCGUGAUGGGUCUCGUCCAAGGCCACCAUCGCCCAGAUGUGCGUGCGUAACCACGUCCUCGUCUACCACUACUGCCUAGCCACAAGGCCUUGCGAGCAUUUCGCCAGGUUUUUCAAUAGCCCCCACUACAUGUUCGCUAUGGUGGACAUCACCAACAAUGUAAAGGUGCUUAGGAAUUAGGGCAUCGCCUGCCAGAAUAUUGUCGACAUCCAGGGCCAAUAUUUGAUCUAGGGCAGCAAGGAGCAUGAGAAGUACUCACUGGUUCACCUCUCUGAGGCCAUCAUCGACCCCUACUACUGAAACAUGAAAGAUUCCUACAACAAGGACAAGCGUGCCUGGCACUCGGCCUGGACGGAGAAACUCGACAAAGCUCACAUCUUGCAUGCGGCCAAGGAGGCGUACAAGAGCUACGACAUGUACAGGCGGAUCUUUGACAUGAGGAAGUGCCUCCUUCCCCAAAACGGCAAAGGAUCCAGCUAGAAGCAGAGCAAUGGCAAGCAUCAUCGCAACAAUAAGUAGAUGAUUAGAUCCUCGUUUCUCCUAGUUUAGUAUGCAUGUAAUUGCUUACUUUGGUGUCUGGAAAUAUUCUGUUUGUAGUCACUUGUGUAAUUGUAUGCUUAAUUUAGUUCUGCAAUGCUGUCUUCUUAAGUAUAUAUGUUGAUGCUCUAUAGACAGAGAAAAUCACAUCACACACAGACUAAACAAUGGAACCCGUCGGUGAUGAUUUCAUCAGUCACUGACAAUUGUAUACCAGCAAUCGUUUGCUCACAACACACAUGGCUUGUUAACAAGAAUCAUCUCUGUUGUUAUCGGUCUUCCCACACAUUUCCGACUACAGACCUGUUUGUCGCAUAUCACACACAUCUUGUUAAGUUGAACCAUUUAUGUUCUCUUGGCUCAACACAAAUAGUUCGUCCGAGUGAACUAUAUGCCAUAUAUCGCACACACCUUCAUCUGGCUACCUGUUUCUAUUGUUCCGCCUCAUCACAAACAGUUUAUCCGAGUGAACUGUAUGUUGUAUAUCACACAUGCCUUCAUCUGGCUGCCCAUUUCUUUUGUUUUGCCUCAUCGCAAACAGUUUAUUGAACUGAACCGUAUGCCCCUCAUCGCACAUGCAACUAAAAGAUGAACCAUGUUUGAUGUAUCCUUCAUCGCAAAAUUUUGCAUCCUUUUUUAUGGUUAUUCUACAUCACUGUUUGUGAUAGUGCAUCGCACACAGUUUCGCCAAAGGGUCUCUGAUUGCAGUGUCGCGUUAGCAUCAUCCUGCAGUAGUGUAUGAUCAUUGACUUGGAUAUUGUCAUAAUUAUUUUCUUUUCUAUCAGUUGCCAAAUAGUAAUUUGUUUACCCACUAUUUUCUCAAGAGAAGCCUUUAGUGAAAACUAUGGCCCCCAGGUCUAUCUUUUAUCAUAUAUUAAAACUAAAAAUACCUUGCUGCAAUUUUCUUUUCUUUAUUUUAUUUUGUAUUUUUGUUCAAUCUAUCUAUCAAAAACUAUACAAUUUAAUCUUGCUCAUAACAGUUGAGGGAUUGCCAACCCCUCUACGUGUUGGGUUGCAAGUAUUUGUUGUUUGUGUGCAGGUGUUGUUUAUAUAGUGUUGCUUUGGUUCUCCUACUGUAUUGAUAACCUUGGUUUCAUAACUAAGGGAAAUACUUAUCUAUACUAUAUUGCAUCAUCCUAUCCUCUUCGAGGAAAUCCCAACGCAGCUCACAAGUAGCAUGGGUCCCGCCGGCUGCUUGUCAUUGUAGCAUCUAUGCGAUGGCGUCAUGUGGUGGUUGGCACGGUGCGUCUAUAGUGUCGGGCCGUCUGGGAGUCAGUCGCCUCGGUCAGCGGUACUGGUGGCACAGUAGCCACGUUCUCUAUGAUGUGGGAGACAUCUUUUCCCUGUACCUGGUACGGUUGGAUUUGAAAGGUGCUGACCCAGCCGGCUGCCGGCUGCCGGUUCGUCUUGGGCGGCGCUCCCAGGCGGCCUCCAGCAGGUGGAGCCGGCUAUGAGGGCACCGAGCCAUAUAGAAGUUUGGAAAUUCUUAUUGGUAUCCUUGAUAUUACCCAAGGGUCAUUCCCCCGACAAAUUGUUUCAUUAAUAUUCAGAACAGUUUCGAGAGGAUCCGAAAGCAUUGCUGGAAGGGUUUCGGAGAGUAUAGGGUAAUACCGGGUAUUAUUGAUAAAUAAUAUAUAGGUGAAAAUAUUUUCGGGGCUGUUAAAUUAUAUAUAAAAAGGUCUGAAAAUAUUUAGAACACUUAUGUAUUUAAUUUAAUAUCAACAGGUCUAAAAAGGCCAACUGGUGGAAGGCAACUUGGGCCGCCAAGGCCCAAGUGGGGGAGGCGCCCCCAUAGCCAUGGAAGGAUGCUGAAUUGGAGGGGGAGGAUGUUGGGGAACGUUGCAUAAAAUAAAAAAAUUCCUACGUUCACCAAGAUCAAUCUAUGAGUUCAUCUAGCAACGAGAGAGAGGAGUACAUCUACAUUCCCUUGUAGAUCGCGAGCGAAAGCGUUCUAGAGAACGGGGUUGAGGGAGUCGUACUCGUCGUGAUCCAAAUCACCGGAGAUCCUAGCGCCGAACGGACGGCACCUCCGCGUUCAACACACGUACGGUCAGCGUGAAGUCUCCUCCUUCUUGAUCCAGCAAGGGGGAAGGAGAGGUUGAUGAAGAUCCAGCAGCACGACAGCGUGGUGGUGGAUGCAGCAGGGUUCCGGCAGGGCUUCGCCAAGCGACUACAGGAGGAGGAGGUGUAGCAAGGGGGGAGCCGCCAGAUGUCAGGGUGCGGCUGCCCUCCCCCCCUCUUUAUAUAGGGACCCCAGGGGGGCGCCAGCCCUGGAGAUGGGAUCUCCCAAGGGGGGCGGCGGCCAGGGGGGUGGAGUGCCCCCCAAGGCAAGUGGAGGCACCCCCUCCCCUAGGGUUCCCAACCCUAGGCGCAGAGGAGGGGCCAGGGGGGCGCACCAGCCCACCAGGGGCUGGUUCUCCUCCCACUUCAGCCCAUGGGGCCCUUCGGGAUGGGUGGCCCCACCCGGUGGACCCCCGGGACCCUUCCGGUGGUCCCGGUACAAUACCGGUGACCCCCGAAACUUUCCCGAUGGCCGAAACUCGACUUCCCAUAUAUACUUCUUUACCUCCAGACCAUUCUGGAACUCCUUGUGACGUCCGGGAUCUCAUCCGGGACUCCGGACAACUUUCGGUUUGCUGCAUACUCAUAUUCAUACAACCCUAGCGUCACCGAACCUUAAGUGUGUAGACCCUACGGGUUCGGGAGACAUGUAGACAUGACCGAGACGGCUCUCCGGCCAAUAACCAACAGCGGGAUCUGGAUACCCAUGUUGGCUCCCACAUGCUCCUCGAUGAUCUCAUCGGAUGAACCACGAUGUCGAGGAUUUAAGCAACCCCGUAUACAAUUCCCUUUGUCAAUCGGUACGUUACUUGCCCGAGAUUCGAUCAUCGGUAUCCCAAUACCUCGUUCAAUCUCGUUACCGGCAAGUCACUUUACUCAUACCGUAAUGCAUGAUCCCGUGACCAGACACUUGGUCACUUUGAGCUCAUUAUGAUGAUGCAUUACCGAGUGGGCCCAGAGAUACCUCUCCGUCAUACGGAGUGACAAAUCCCAGUCUUGAUCCGUGUCAACCCAACAGACACUUUCGGAGAUACCUGUAGUGCACCUUUAUAGUCACCCAGUUACGUUGUGACGUUUGGUACACCCAAAGCACUCCUACGGUAUCCGGGAGUUACACGAUCUCAUGGUCUAAGGAAGAGAUACUUGACAUUGGAAAAGCUCUAGCAAAAUGAACUACACGAUCUUGUGCUAUGCUUAGGAUUGGGUCUUGUCCAUCACAUCAUUCUCCUAAUGAUGUGAUCCCGUUAUCAAUGACAUCCAAUGUCCAUAGUCAGGAAACCAUGACUAUCUGUUGAUCAACGAGUGUAACACCUCGGAUGUAACUUUCCAUCUUUGUAUCUCCAACUCUUGCCAUUUUCGGCUAUGUGAUAUGUUAUUCCCUCCGUGGUUGGGUUUUGUCUUUUGUUUUGCAUUUUAUUCAUUUCAUGCAUAUCAUAUCAUGCCAUCUCAUGUUGCAUCUUGGUCAUAUCAAGCAUAGCUUAGUGCUUGCCAUGUUGCAUUUUGUCAUUCAUGUUGUUGCCAUGAGCAUCAUGGGCAUGACCCUUCUAACCCCCCCCCCCCCUUUCAAACCAUUGCACAAUCACUUCUCCUUCCUUCCCUUUUCCUUCCAUUCUUUGUGAGUGCCACUUUGCCUCCGCCAUAAAUGUUCAUCUUUUCCCCAAUAUUCUAACACCAUGUACCUAGCCUCUCUGCCAAAUUACAGCUCAUUUGAAGUUGUGUUGGUUAGGUUCAAAAAUGCUCCAAGUUUGAACUAUAUUCAAACUUGUUGUAUUUUUCUACCUCUAAAAAAUACCCAACUCAAUUUUAUCAAAUUGAGAAUAAUUCCAGAAUCUUGAGGAUAUUUUCAUAUCUCUCACAAACCCCCCAAUCCUUCUGUGCUUUUCGCUCUUUUAUUACUGUUCAAAGGAAUGGGAAAGAGCCAGAGGGAGAGAGAGAGAGCACCAGCAGCAGCGCAGCCCAGUAGCAAGCAGUCCAUCCGCGGCCCAGCAGCCCUCCUGCAGCCCUUUAGCCUGCAAGCGACAGUUGCAUCGUCCUCCUGUACGGCAAGACAUACAGAGGAGACACGUCGGCACGCCAGAUGAUUUGACGGCCGGAGCUCGUCCUUAGACCCCUAUAAAGUUGUCCCCGGUGCCCUAGGGUCUCCCCUCAACCGAUCCCCUCCUCUCCUUCCUUCGCCGCCGCCCGGUAAGUCCUCGCUCGUGCCCCAUAGCCGUCGCCCGCAUCAUGGCCGAGGCAAGCUGGAGCUCGUCCCCGGCGUAGGAUCCGCCAGCAGCGCCCCGCCUCCCUCCAAAUGCUCUGGGUGAUCGACAUCGUCUUCUUCCUGCUGUGAACCAAGGCAGAAGACGCCAAGUCCGGCUACUUCCCUGUCGUCCUCUUCCUCCCCUGCUUCGCGGACAGCAGCCCCGCCAGGUUCAGAGCUCGUCCGCAUCGCCGCAGGCUCGUCUCCGUCAUCGUCUUCUUGUCCUAGGGUAAGGAGGUAUUCCCAACUUCCUCCCUGCUCCUUCCUGUCGUCAAUAGAUCACCGUAGGCGCUGCUUCGAUUCAAUCUUUCCCGUGCUCUCGGUGCUCUGUCGAUCUCUGUAGUUUUAGUUGCGCAUGUUUUGCUGCUGCACGUGCACACGCCGCUUGCGUUCUGCGAGCUCGUGCUCAAGCGUUUGCUCGCGCACCCCUACAACCGCACUCCCUUGCACUUCCCGCAGGCCCGCUGCUGCUCUGCAUUGCAAGCCAUCGCCUUCUCGCUCGUCAACGCAGGCGCCGGUGAUUUCUGUGUUGCCAACACCAAAGGCUCGACCUUCUGGCCCUGGUUCAAAAGGAGCCAGGCGCCUCUCUGGGUACACACACCUCCCUCUAGCGCACUGGUUAGCCUGCCUCUUUCCUACCUAGGAGACUUGGGUUCGAGUCCGAGGUUCCACGUUUUUUAGUGGUGGCUUUUAUUUUCACUGUGACUAUGACGCCUUGGUCCCACUGUCAUCCACACACCCAGCCACAUGGACCACGGCCCUACCAGUCAGUCUAACGGCUCGGUACAGCUUGGGUGCACCUAGUUUUCCCCGCAUGACUUCUGUUUUAUUCCAAUUCGGAACAUGCCAGAUUUGGCAUAUGCUGAGGUUUCCGUUUAGGGCAGGUUUUAACUUAUUGCACUCGUGAUGAUUUUUCUACAGCAACCCCAACAUAUUAUAUAUGUUUUUGGGGUAGAAAAAUCCCACCAAUACAGUGGUGGCAUUAGUUUCUGCAUUUGAGCAAGUUCAUGAACAUGUCAUUUUACAUCAUGUUGCUGUUUUGUCUUUCAUGUGUAUAUUUAUGCAAUUAUACUAUGAGGUAGUUUUGCACAUGAACAUGCUCUUCAUCAUGCCUACUUGCUUCUGGAAUUAAGCUCCUGCCAUGAUAUGUUUUAUUUUGAGUUAAACACGCUUGUUAACAUGCCAACAUGAAUCUGUUUUUGCCAUGUCCUGAAACUUCACUAAGUCUAGAACUGUUAAUAAAAACUUGCUAUGUUCACAUGGGUGCCAUCAUAUUUUAUGAUCCUUUUUGGCUUAUGGUCAGUAAGGGACUUUUGAUCUAUGCUUUGAGUAGGUUCAUGCCAUGCCUUAUUUUGCUAUUAUAAGUUCCUGUAGCAUGUUGAUAACCUGCUCUGAACAUUGCUUCGUGAUGCUGUUUAUGCCAUGUCCAACCUGAUAUUUUUUGCACUUUCACCAUGCUUGUUUGAACCUGUUAUGAUGUGAUUUAGCCGUAUCUCAGUGUUCCUCUUUUGUUAAGCAUCUCUUGUAGAUCACUUCCACAUGUUUUGUUUUUAUGUUGGGUUCGAGUCCCAGGUUCCACGUUUUUUUAGUGGUGGCUUUUAUUUUCACUGUGACUAUGACGCCUUGGUCCCACUGUCAUCCACACACCCAGCCACGUGGACCACGGCCCUACCAGUCAGUCUAACAGCUCGGUACAGCUUGGGUGCACCUAGUUUUCCCCGCAUGACUUCUGUUUUAUUCCAAUUCGGAACAUGCCAGAUUUGGCAUAUGCUGAGGUUUCCGUUUAGGGCAGGUUUUAACUUAUUGCACUCGUGGUGAUUUUUCUACAGCAACCCCAACAUAUUAUAUAUGUUUUUGGGGGUAGAAAAAUCCCACCAAUCCAGUGGUGGCAUUAGUUUCUGCAUUUGAGCAAGUUCAUGAACAUGUCAUUUUACAUCAUAUUGUUGUUUUGUCUUUCAUGUGUAUAUUUAUGCAAUUAUGCUAUGAGGUAGUUUUGCACAUGAACAUGCUCUUCAUCAUGCCUACUUGCUUCUUGAAUUAAGCUCCUGCCAUGAUAUGUUUUAUUUUGAGUUAAACACGCUUGUUAACAUGCCAACAUGAAUCUGUUUUUGCCAUGUCCUGAAACUUUAAUAAGUCUGGAACUGUUAAUAAAGACUUGCUAUGUUGACAUGGGUGCCAUCAUAUUUUCUGAUCCUUUUUGGCUUAUGGUCAGUAAGGGACUUUUGAUCUAUGCUUUGAGUAGAUUCAUGCCAUGCCUUAUUUUGCUAUUAUAAGUUCCUGUAGCAUGUUGAUAACCUGCUCUGAACAUUGCUUCAUGAUGCUGUUUAUGCCAUGUCCAACCUGAUAUUUUUUGUACUUUCACCAUGCUUGUUCGAACCUGUUAUGAUGUGAUUUAGCCGUAGCUCAGUGUUCCUCUUUUUCUAAGCAUCUCCUGUAGAUCACUUCCAUAUGUUUUGUUUUUAUGUUGGGGUGCUAUAGCAUAGUUUCUUGUUGCAUGCUAAGUAGCAUCGUGCUGUUAAUCGCAGCUUUGCGCCAUUCUUGUUUUGCUUGCCAUUUGCAAACCGUGCAUCCGUUUCCGGUGAUCCUUAUAUCGAUUUCAACCGAAAUCAUCUCAUCUUUCCAGCGGCAUACUUGGUUUGCCAAGUUGAUGCCUUGUUCAUCCUUUUUCCUCCCAAAGCACGCAUACGCAUUGCAUAUCACAUCUCGCAUAUCAUGACGUGUAUUGCAUCAUGUUGCUUGUGCAUUGCAUCGUGAUUUAUUGUGGUUCCUUUGCUUGUGUUCUUGCUUUGGGUAGAGCCGGGAGAUGAGUACGUGCACGAGGAACCUGUUGAGAACGCUUACGAGGAUCAAGCCUUCGACAACUCUGAGAACCUUGCAGGCAAGAUGACCAUACCUUUGAUAUCACUUCUAUCUUUGCUUGCUAGUACUCGCUCUAUCGCUAUGUUAGCUCUACCUACCAUUGUUUAUCAUGCCUCCCUAUUGCCCUGUCAAACCUCUAAUCAUCCUGUCCUAGCAAACAUUGUUUGGCUAUGUCACCGCUUUUGCUCAGCCCCUCUUAUAGCGUUGCUAGUUGCAGGUGAAGAUGAAGUUCGUUCCUGGUCGGAACAUUGGUAUUUUGGGAUAUCACAAUAUCUCUUGUUUAAUUAAUGCACCUUAUAUACUUGGUAAAGGGUUGAAGGCUCGGCCUUAUGCCUGGUGACUUGUUCCACUCUUGCCGCCCUAGUUUCUGUCAUACCGGUGUUAUGUUCCUUGAUUUUGCGUUCCUUACACGGUUGGGUGAUUUAUGGGACCCCCUUGACAGUUUGCUUUGAAUAAAACUCCUCCAGCAAGGCCCAACUUUGGUUUUAUCAUUUGCCACCUAAGCCUUUUUCCCUUGGGUUUUCGCGAGCCCAAGGGUCAUCUUUAUUUACCCCCCCGGGCCAGUGCUCCUCCGAGUGUUGGUCCAAACUAGAGCAGCGUGCGGGACCAUUCCUUGGCAACUUGGAUUACGCCGGUACUUGUACGCUUAGCUUAUCCGGUGUGCCCUGAGAACGAGAUAUGUGCAGCUCCUAUCGGGAUUUGUCGGCACAGCGGGUGGACUUGCUACUCUUGUUUUACCAUUGUCGAAAUGUUUUGCGAAUCGGGAUUCCGAGGCUGAUCGGGUCUUCCAGGGAGAAGGUAUAUCCUUCAUUGACCGUGAGAGCUUGUGAUGGGCUAAGUUGGGACACCCCUGCAGGGUAUAUAAUCUUUCUGAAGUCGUGCUCGCGGUUAUGAGGCAGAUGGGAAUUUGUUAAUGUCUGGUUGUAGAUAACUUGACACUUGACUUCAUUAAAAUGCAUCAACCGCGUGUGUAGCCGUGAUGGUCUCUUCCCGACAGAGUCCGGGAAGUGAACACGGUUUGUGUUAUGCUUGACGUAAGUAGUUUCAGAAUCACUUCUUGAUCACUUCUAGCUUCUCGACCGAUUCGUUGCUUCUCUUCUCGCUCUCACUUGCGUAUGCUAGCCACCAUAUAUGCUUAGUGCUUGAUGCAGCUCCACCAUAUUACCCCUUACCUGCCUAUGAGCUUAAAUAGCCUUGAUCUCGUGGGUGUGAGAUUGCUGAGUCCUCGUGACUCACAGAUUCUACCAAAACAGAUGCAGGUGCCGAUGAUACCAGCGCAGAUGGCGCAACUGAGCUGAAGUGGGAGUUUGAUGAGGCCCUUGGUCGUUACUAUGUAUCGUUUCUAGAUGAUCAGUAGAGGAGCCCAGUCGGGACGAUCGGGGAUCUAGCAUUUGGGGUUGUCUUCUUUUCAUUUGAACUUGACCGUAGCCGGUCUAUGAAUGUAUUUUGAAUGAUGUAUGAUCUUAAAUUAUGUAUUGUGUGAAGUGGCGAUUGUAAGCCAACUCUCUUUAUCCUAUUCUUGUUCAUUACAUGGGAUUGUGUGAAGAUGACCCUUCUUGCGACAAAACCACUAUGCGGUUAUGCCUCUAAGUCGUGCUUUGACACGUGGGAGAUAUAGCCGCAUCGUGGGUGUUACAAGUUGGUAAUCAGAGCCAUCCCCGACUUAGGAGCCCCCUGCUUGAUUGUUUGCUGGCGAUGUUGAGUCUAGAACAAAAAUGUUUUGAGUCUUAGAAUUAUAUAUAUCGGAGAGUAGGAUUCUUUUUACUCCUCAGUCCCUUCAUCGCUCUGGUGAGGUCUCCUGACGUAGAUGUUUUGACUGUCCUCUUCUCAAAUUUCACUAAAAAAAAUUUAGGAUCACGCGGGUAUCUUGGAAUCGUUCCGAUGGUUUUGUGACGAGAACAUUGUUCUUGGUGCCUCCUGUCUAUUAUGUGGCUUUGACCCGGGGAGUUGAGCUCUGAGGUGUUGUCGUCACAAUUUUAUCGUUGCAGUUCUGGAAUACCUGAGUUUUGCCGACAUCGAAAAUCUCUUUUAUGCAGUUGUUGGUGAGAUAACCUCGACGCCACCCAGUAUUGGGGCGGGAGUUCGGGAGUAUUGCCAUAACUCAUAUAACGGAUGCUUUUCGAAGGUUGAGGUACACGAUUUUCGAAGAUUUCUUGGUUAUGUGUUGACGGAUGGAUACAGCUGGAUGUAGGGAUUGUUAGUUUGGGUGAGAUAUAUUGCUUCCCCUGUAUCCCCAACACCAGAUUGCAUAACCAGAAAGUUUCGGGAGUUUAUAGGUGGGAUUCAAGUAGCUCUAGCAUUUCUUCCCGCAGAUAUUUGGUUUGUGAUUGGGUAAUCCUUACCACUUAUUUAUUCCAGUUGUACCUUGUUUAUUUCAUUCAUCAAUCUCUAUUCAAGUGGCUUCUCACCUUUAUGGGCGUGUGAUGUUUGCUUUGGAAUUCAUUCGUUCAUCCUUGUUCAAAUGUUUAUUGUGAAGACUAUAUGUUGCAAUUUCUAUCCGUUGAUUCAACUUGUCUAUCUGUCUAUCAAGAUGCUAACGGAUGUCACCCUCUUCAGGAUGGCUCUGCCAACGCGUCAGAAUACAGAACGCAAUGAUGGGAGUCAGGCGAACCCUCCACCUCCACCUCCGCCUCCGGAGGCAUGGCAAGCUUUGAUGGCAGCCACAAACGCCAAUGCCCAGAUGAUGAUUCAGCUCAUGCAAGAGCGCAACCAAGGCCAAGGCAACCAAGGGAAUCAAGGUCAAGGGCAUUUCAAUCAUCAGCUUCUAUUUCCUACCCUCAACCAAUUCCUUGCAAAUCAGCCGAAGUCUUUCAGCUACUGUGCCGAAGCCACAGACGCCGAUGAUUGGCUCGUGGAUAUCAACAAGCAUUUUGAAUGCAGCAAUGUCAGGCCUGAGGACUAUGUCAAGUUCGCUUCUUUUCAGCUCAAGGAUCAGGCAGCUGAUUGGUUCCAGCAAUACAAGGAUUCCAGAGGAGGUCAAGUGAUUACUUGGACUGACUUCUUCGGGACUUUAAAGCUCACCACAUUCCUACCAGUGUUGUUGAGAGCAAGCGUGAGGAGUUCCCCAAUCUCAAGCAAGGCAACAUGUCAGUGUACGAAUACAACAAGCAGUUUCAGAAACUUACUCGCUUCGCUAAACAAGAUGUUCCAGAUGAGAAGAGUAUGAUCUAUCAAUUCAGAGGUGGCCUUAGAGAGGAUCUGCAGUUAGCUCUCGUUCUUGUUGAGCCUACUCAGUUUGAUCAAUUCUACAAUAUGGCACUCAAGCAAGAAGGUGCUCAGCUUAAGUGUGAGGCUUCUAAGAAGAGAAUCAGGGAUGCAGUCCAGUCUUCUUCUUCCUCACAAGUGGCAGCUAAGCAGCAGAAGUUCUAUCUUCCUCCUCCUCCGUUUCAUCAGCCUUUCCAACAGAAGAACUCAUGUGGUCGUGGAUCUUCCCACCCACCCAACCCAGGCUAUCAGAACAAGUCUCAGCCUCAAGCUCCAAGGUCAAGUGCUCCUUAUCAUCGUCCGCUCUCAGAAGUGACUUGCAACAAGUGCCAGCAGAAAGGUCACUACGCGAACAAAUGCUUCAAUCAAAGGCGCCUUCCUCCUCCUCCUCCUGUGAGAUCUUCAAGCAAUGCAGUGGUCAAGCAUAAUUCCAAGUUUGCAAAGGUGAACAUGAUGAAUGCAGCUCAGGCAGAGGAUUCUUCAGAUGUGAUCAUCGGUAAUCUUCCAGUUAAUGAUAUUCCUGCUAAAGUUCUUUUUGACACUGGUGCAUCGCUUAGUUUAAUCUCAAGACCAUUUGCAUCUAAGCAUGAUUUGUCUUUCCAAGAAUUGCCUAGACCGUUAGCAGUUGUCUCUCCCGCUAAAAGCAUGAACGCAAGCUACAUGGUUCCGGAUGUUUCCAUCAAGAUGGGUGACUAUAAAUUUCUAUCUUCUCCAGUUGUUCUUGGCGAUUUUGAUAUUGAUCUAAUUCUUGGGAUGGACUGGCUUUCUAAGCACAAGGCGCAGCUUGAUUGUGCUGCCAGGCAAAUUCAAUCGACACACCCUUCUGAGGAUGUUAUCAUCUAUGCUGCUCGCGAUGAAACCAUUCGGUUGUUUUCUCUCAAUGAGAAGGGCGAGUUGGAUGCUAUUUCUCAGAUUCCAGUCGUUUGUGAGUACCAAGAUGUCUUUCCAGAAGAGCUUCUGGGUAUGCCUCCUCAUCGGCCAGUCGAGUUCGUUAUUGAUCUUGAGCCUGGAACUGAACCGGUUUGCAAGCGUCCUUACAAGCUUGGACCCAAGGAGCUGAAGGAAUUGAAGAAGCAGCUCGAUGAACAAGAGCGUCUGGGUUUGAUCAGACCGAGUUCAUCCCCAUGGGGUUGUGGAGUUCUUUUUGUCCAGAAGAAGGAUGGCACGGACCAACUUUGCGUCGAUUACCGUCCAUUGAACAAGAAGACAAUCAAGAACAAGUAUCCACUUCCCAACAUCAAUGAGCUUUUCGAGCAACUCAAAGGUGCUAAAGUAUUCUCCAAGCUUGACCUUCAUAUGGGUUAUCAUCAGAUUCGCAUUCGUGAACAAGAUAUUCCCAAGACAGCAUUCAGAACAAGCUAUGGUUCUUAUGAAUAUAUUGUCAUGUCUUUCGGCCUUGUCAAUGCUCCUCCAACAUUCUCUCGCAUGAUGAACUUUAUCUUCAACCCCUACACCAAUGAAUUCAUUCUGGUGUAUCUCGAUGAUAUUUUAGUCUUCUCCAAGAAUAAGCAGGAUCAUGCCAAACAUUUGCGAUUGGUGCUCGACAAGCUUAGAGAGCAUCAGUUCUAUGCGAAGUUUUCCAAAUGUGAGUUCUGGCUUGAUGAAGUUCUUUACCUUGGCCAUAUCUGGCCAUAUCAUCUCUGCCAAGGGCAUUGCUGUUAAUCCCGUGAAGGUUUCUGCAGUUCUGAAUUGGGAACCUCCUCAGAAUGUCAAAUAGCUCCGCAGUUUUCUUGGUCUUGCAAGCUAUUGCCGAAGAUUCAUUGGGAACUUCUCUAAGAUUGCAAAGCCUCUUUCCAACCUCCUUCAGAAGCAUGUCAAGUAUGUCUGGAUGCCUGAGUGUGACGUCGCUUUCAACACCCUCAAAGAGAAGCUAGUCGCAGCUCCUGUCUUGACUCCUCCUGAUGAAUCCAAGCCAUUCAAAGUAUUCUGUGAUGCUUCCCUUCAAGGUCUCGGUGCUGUGUUGAUGCAAGAGAAAAAAGUUGUGGCCUAUACCUCUCGUUAGUUGAAGCCCAACGAAAAGAACUACCCCACUCAUGAUCUUGAGUUAGCGGCAGUUGUCCAUGCAUUGAUAACAUGGAGACACCUCUUAUUGGGAAGGCAAGUGGACAUUUUCACCGAUCACAAGAGCCUCAAGUAUAUCUUCACUCAACCCAACCUCAACCUCAGGCAAACUCAAUGGGUCGAAAUGAUUCAAGAGUACAAUCCGAGUAUUGAAUAUAUUCCUGGCAAGGCGAAUGUGAUUGCAGAUGCUCUGAGCAGAAAGGCUUAUUGCAACAGUCUAAUUCUCAAGCCGUUUCAACCGGAUCUUUGUGAGGCUUUCCGCAAGCUGAAUCUUCAAGUUGUUCCUCAAGGCUUUCUUGCCAACCUCAUAGUCUCUCCUACUUUGGAAGAUCAAAUUCGUGAGGCACAACUCCUGGAUACCAUGGUGAAGAAGGUGAAACGUGGUAUUGACAAGGGCAUUCUCAAAUACAAGUGCUAUCGCUUGGAUGACAAAGAUAGUCUUUUCUUCGAGGAUCGAAUUGUGGUUCCCAAAGGCGAUCUGAGAAAAGUCAUCAUGAAUGAGGCACACAAUUCCCUCCUAUCCAUUCAUCCUGGAAGUACAAAGAUGUACCAUGACCUCAAGCAGUCAUAUUGGUGGACUCGAAUGAAGCGAGAGGUUGCUCAAUUCGUGAAUGAAUGUGAUGUCUGCAGAAGAGUGAAAGCAGAACACCAACGACCAGCUGGUCUCCUUCAACCUCUUGCUAUUCCGGAAUGGAAGUUUGAUCAUAUCGAAAUGGACUUCGUGACUGGUUUUCCUAAAUCCAAGCGUGGAAAUGAUGCUAUCUUCGUUGUCAUUGACAAGCUUACCAAAGUGGCUCAUUUUCUUCCUAUCAAAGAAUCUAUCACAGCAGCUCAGCUGGCAGAGCUAUACACCUCCAGAAUUGUCUCCUUGCACGGCAUUCCACAAUUGAUAUCUUCAGAUCGUGGAAGCAUCUUCACUUCUAAGUUCUAGGACUCCUUUUAGACGGCCAUGGGCACCAACAUUCGUUUCAGCACAACUUUCCAUCCUCAAACAAGUGGCCAAGUCGAGCGAGUGAAGAUAUGCUCAGGUCUUGUGUCAUUUCCUUCGGUAUGAAGUGGGAAGAUUGUCUUCCAUAUGCCGAGUUCUCCUACAACAACAGCUUCCAAGCGAGUUCGGGCAAGGCCCCAUUCGAAAUUCUCUAUGGCAGAAAGUGACGUACUCCUCUCAAUUGGUCUGAGACAGGUGAACGCCAACUUCUUGGCAACGACUUGAUCACAGAAGCCGAAGAAAUGUGCAAAGUCAUUCGUGAGAAUCUCAAAGCCACGCAAUCGCGACAAAAGAGUUACUAUGAUAGAAAGCACCGUGACUUGGCUUUUGAAAUCGAAGACCAUGUCUACCUCCGCGUCUCUCCAAUGAAAGGCACUUGUCGCUUCGGUAUCAAAGGGAAGCUUGACCCUAGAUACGUGGGUCCUUUCAAGAUCAUUGGCAAAAGAGGCGACCUCGCCUAUCAACUUGAGCUUCCAUCCAACUUCACGAACGUGCAUGAUGUGUUUCACGUGUCACAACUUAGCAAGUGCUUCAAGACUCCUGAGCGCACUAUCAACUUCGAAGAGAUUGACCUCCAGGAAGAUCUCUCUUAUCAUGAGCACCCCGUUGCUAUUCUUGAAGAAACCGAGCGCAAGACUCGCAACAAGUCAAUCAAAUUCCUGAAAGUGAAGUGGUCACACCAUUCCGACCGAGAAGCCACCUGGGAGCACGAGGAUCACCUACGUUCCGAAUAUCCUGAGUUCUUUCAGUCCUAGAUCUCGGGACGAGAUCCUCUUGUAGUGGUGGAGUGUUGUAACACCUCGGAUGUAACUUUCCAUCUUUGUAUCUCCAACUCUUGCCAUUUUCGGCUAUGUAAUAUGUUAUUCCCUCCGUGGUUGGGUUUUGUCUUUUGUUUUGCAUUUUAUUCAUGUCAUGCAUAUCAUAUCAUGCCAUCUCAUGUUGCAUCUUGGUCAUAUCAAGCAUAGCUUAGUGCUUGCCAUGUUGCAUUUUGUCAUUCAUGUUGUUGCCAUGAGCAUCAUGGGCAUGACCCUUCUACCCCCCCUUUCAAACCAUUGCACCAUCACUUCCCCUUCGUUCCCUUUUCCUUCCAUUCUUUGCGAGUGCCAUUUUGCCUCCACCAUAAAUGUUCAUCUUUUCCCCAAUAUUCUAACACCAUGUACCUAGCCUCUCUGCCAAAUUAGAGUUCAUUUGAAGUUGUGUUGGUUAGGUUCAAAAAUGCUCCAAGUUUGAACUAUAUUCAAACUUGUUGUAUUUUUCUACCUCUAAAAAAAUACCCAACUCAAUUUUAUCAAAUUGAGAAUAAUUCCAGAAUCCUGAGGAUAUUUUCAUAUCUCUCACAAACCCCCCCAAUCCUUCUGUGCUUUUCGCUCUUUUAUUACUGUUCAAAGGAAUGGGAAAGAGCCAAAGGGAGAGAGAGAGCACCAGCAGCAGCGCAGCCCAGUAGCAAGCAGUCCAUCCGCGGCCCAGCAGCCCUCCCACAGCCCUUUAGCCUGCAAGCGACAGUUGCAUCGUCCUCCUGUACAGCAGGACAUCCAGAGGAGACACGUCGGCACGCCAGAUGAUUUGACGGCCGGAGCUCGUCCCUAGACCCCUAUAAAGUUGUCCCCGGUGCCCUAGGGUCUCCCCUCAACCGAUCCCCCUCCUCUCCUUCCUUCGCCGCCGCCCGGUAAGUCCUCGCUCGUGCCCCAUAGCCGUCGCCCGCAUCAUGGCCGAGGCGAGCUGGAGCUCAUCCCCGGCGUAGGAUCCGCCAGCAGCGCCCCACCUCCCUCCAAACGCUCCGGGUGAUCGUCAUCGUCUUCUUCCUGCUGUGAACCAAGGCAGAAGACACCAAGUCCGGCUACUUCCCCGUCGUCCUCUUCCUCCCCUGCUUCGCGGACAGCAGCCCCGCCAGGUUCAGAGCUUGUCCGCGUCGCCGCAGGCUCGUCUCCGUCAUCGUCUUCUUGUCCUAGGGUAAGGAGGUAUUCCCAACUUCCUCCCUGCUCCUUCCUGUCGUCAAUAGAUCACCGUAGGCGCUGCUUUGAUUCAAUCUUUCCCGUGCUCUCGGUGCUCUGUAGAUCUCUGUAGUUUUAGUUGCGCAUGUUUUGCUGCUGCACGUGCACACGCCGCUUGCGUUCCGCGAGCUCGUGCUCGAGCGUUUGCUCGCGCACCCCUACAACUGCACUCCCUUGCACUUCCCGCAGGCCCGCUGCUGCUCUGCAUCGCAAGCCGUCGCCUUCUCGCUCGUCAACGCAGGCGCCGGUGAUUUCUGUGUUGCCAACACCAAAGGCUCGGCCUUCUGGCCCUGGUUCAAAAGGAGCCAGGCGCCUCUCUGGGUACACACACCUCCCUCUAGCGCACUGGUUAGCCUGCCUCUUUCCUACCUAGGAGACUUGGGUUCGAGUCCGAGGUUCCACGUUUUUUUAGUGGUGGCUUUUAUUUUCACUGUGACUAUGACGCCUUGGUCCCAUUGUCAUCCACAUACCCAGCCACGUGGACCACGGCCCUACCAGUCAGUCUAACGGCUCGGUACAGCUUGGGUACACCUAGUUUUCCCCGCAUGACUUCUGUUUUAUUCCAAUUCGGAACAUGCCAGAUUUGGCAUAUGUUGAGGUUUCCAUUUAGGGCAGGUUUUAACUUAUUGCACUCGUGAUGAUUUUUCUACAGCAACCACAACAUAUUAUAUAUGUUUUUGGGGUAGAAAAAUCCCACCAAUCCAGUGGUGACAUUAGUUUCUGCAUUUGAGAAAGUUCAUGAAUAUGUCAUUUUACAUCAUGUUGUUGUUUUGUCUUUCAUGUGUAUAUUUAUGCAAUUAUGCUAUGAGGUAGUUUUGCACAUGAACAUGCUCUUCACCAUGCCUACUUGCUUCUGGAAUUAAGCUCCUGACAUGAUAUGUUUUAUUUUGAGGUAAACAAGCUUGUUAACAUGCCAACAUGAAUCUGUUUUUGCCAUGUCCUGAAACUUCAAUAAGUCUGGAACUGUUAAUAAAAACUUGCUAUGUUCACAUGGGUGCCAUCAUAUUUUCUGAUCCUUUUUGGCUUAUGGUCAGUAAGGGACUUUUGAUCUAUGCUUUGAGUAGAUUCAUGCCAUGCCUUAUUUUGCUAUUAUAAGUUCCUGUAGCAUGUUGAUAACCUGCUCUGAACAUUGCUUCGUGAUGCUGUUUAUGCCAUGUCCAACCUGAUAUUUUUUGCACUUUCACCAUGCUUGUUUGAACCUGUUAUGAUGUGAUUUAGCCGUAGCUCAGUGUUCUUCUUUCGUUAAGCAUCUCCUGUAGAUCACUUCCAUAUAUUUUGUUUUUAUGUUGGAGUAUUAUAGCAUAGUUUCUUGUUGCAUGCUAAGUAGCAUCGUGCUGUUAAUCGCAGCUUUGCGCCAUUCUUAUUUUGCUUGCCAUUUGCAAACCGUGCAUCCGUUUCCGGUGAUCCUUAUAUCGAUUUCAACCGAAAUCAUCUCAUCUUUCCAGCGGCAUACUUGGUUUGCCAAGUUGAUGCCUUGUUCAUCCUUUUUCCUCCCGAAGCACGCAUACGCAUUGCAUAUCACAUCUCGCAUAUCAUGACAUGUAUUGCAUCAUGUUGCUUGUGCGUUGCACUAUGAUUUAUUGUGGUUCCUUUGCUUGUGUUCUUGCUUUGGGUAGAGCCGGGAGACGAGUACGUGCAUGAGGAACCUGUUGAGAACGCUUACGAGGAUCAAGCCUUCGACAACUCUGAGAACCUUGCAGGCAAGAUGACCAUACCUUCGAUAUCACUUCUAUCUUUGCUUGCUAGUACUCGCUCUAUCGCUAUGUUAGCUCUACCUGCCAUUGUUUAUCAUGCCUCCCUAUUGCCCUAUCAAACCUCUAACCAUCCUGUCCUAGCAAACGUUGUUUGGCUAUGUCACCGCUUUUGCUCAGCCCCUCUUAUAGCGUUGCUAGUUGCAGGUGAAGAUGAAGUUCGUUCCUGGUCGGAACAUUGAUAUUUUGGGAUAUCACAAUAUCUCCUGUUUAAUUAAUGCACCUUAUAUACUUGGUAAAGGGUGGAAGGCUCGGCCUUAUGCCUGGUGACUUGUUCCACUCUUGUCGCCCUAGUUUCUGUCAUACCGGUGUUAUGUUCCUUGAUUUUGCGUUCCUUACACGGUUGGGUGAUUUAUGGGACCCUCUUGACAGUUCGCUUUGAAUAAAACUCCUCCAGCAAGGCCCAACUUUGGUUUUACCAUUUGCGACCUAAGCCUUUUUCCCUUGGGUUUUCGCGAGCCCAAGGCUCAUCUUUAUUUACCCCCCCCCCCCCGGGCCAAUGCUCCUCCGAGAGUUGGUCCAAACUAGAGCACCGUGCGGGACCAUUCCUUGGCAACUUGGAUUACGUCAGUACCUGUACGCUUAGCUUAUCCGGUGUGCCCUAAGAACGAGAUAUGUGCAGCUCCUAUCGGGAUUUGUCGGCACAGCGGGUGGUCUUGCUGGUCUUGUUUUACCAUUGUUGAAAUGUUUUGCAAAUCGGGAUUCCGAGGCUGAUCAGGUCUUCCCGGGAGAAGGUAUAUCCUUCGUUGACCGUGAGAGCUUGUGAUGGGCUAAGUUGGGACACCCCUGCAGGGUAUAUAAUCUUUCGAAAGCCGUGCCCACGGUUAUGAGGUAGAUGGGAAUUUGUUAAUGUCCGGUUGUAGAUAACUCGACACUUGACUUCAUUAAAAUGCAUCAACCGCGUGUGUAGCCAUGAUGGUCUCUUCUCGGUGGAGUCCGAGAAGUGAACACAGUUUGUGUUAUGCUUGACGUAAGUAGUUUCAGGAUCACUUCUUGAUCACUUCUAGCUUCUCGACCGAUUCGUUGCUUCUCUUCUCGCUCUCACUUGCGUAUGCUAGCCACCAUAUAUGCUUAGUGCUUGCUGCAGCUCCACCAUAUUACCCCUUACCUACCUAUGAGCUUAAAUAGUCUUGAUCUCGUGGGUGUGAGAUUGCUGAGUCCUCGUGACUCACAGAUUCUACCAAAACAGAUGCAGGUGCCGAUGAUACCAGCGCAGAUGGCGCAACUGAGCUGAAGUGGGAGUUUGAUGAGGCCCUUGGUUGUUACUAUGUAUCGUUUCUAGAUGAUCAGUAGAGGAGCCCAGUCGGGACGAUCGGGGAUCUAGCAUUUGGGGUUGUCUUCUUUUCAUUUGAACUUGACCGUAGCCGGUCUAUGAGUGUAUUUUGAAUGAUGUAUGAUCUUAAAUUAUGUAUUGUGUGAAGUGGCGAUUGUAAGCCAACUCUCUUUAUCCCAUUCUUGUUCAUUACAUGGGAUUGUGUGAAGAUGACCCUUCUUGCGACAAAACCACUAUGCGGUUAUGCCUCUAAGUCGUGCUUCGACACGUGGGCGAUAUAGCCGCAUCGUGGGUGUUACAACGAGCUAGUCAACUAGAGGCUCACUAGGGACAUAUUGUGGUCUAUGUAUUCACACGUGUAUUAUGAUUUCCGGAUAAUACAAUUAUAGCAUGAAUAAAAGACAAUUAUCAUGAAAAGGAAAUAUAAUAAUAAUCCUUUUAUUAUUGCCUCUAGGGCAUAUUUCCAACAGUCUCCCACUUGCACUCGAGUCAAUAAUCUAGUUACAUUGUGAUGAAUCGAACACCCAUAGAGUUCUGGUGUUGAUCAUGUUUUGCUCGCGGAAGAGGUUUAGUCAACGGAUCUGCGACAUUCAGAUCCGUAUGUACUUUGCAAAUAUCUAUGUCUCCAUCUUGAACAUUUUCACGGAUGGAGUUGAAACGACGCUUGAUGUGCCUGGUCUUCUUGUGAAACCUGGGCUCCUUGGCAAGGGCAAUAGCUCCAGUGUUGUCACAGAAGAGUUUGAUCGGCCCCGACGCAUUGGGUAUGACUCCUAGGUCGGUGAUGAACUCCUUCACCCAAAUUGCUUCAUGCGCUGCCUCCGAGGCUGCCAUGUACUCCGCUUCACAUGUAGAUCCCGCCACGACGCUCUGCUUGCAACUGCACCAGCUUACUGCUCCACGAUUCAACGUAUACACGUAUCCGGUUUGUGACUUAGAGUCAUCCAGAUUUGUGUAGAAGCUAGCGCCGACGUAAACCUUUACGACGAGCUCUUCGUCACCUCCAUAGACGAGAAACAUGUCCUUUGUCCUUUUCAGGUACUUAAGGAUAUUCUUGACCGCUGUCCAGUGUUCCUUGCCGGGAUUACUUUGGUACCUUCCUACCAAACUUACGGCAAGGUUUACAUCAGGUCUGGUACACAGCAUGGCAUACAUAAUAGAUCCUAUGGCUGAGGCAUAGGGGAUGACACUCAUCUCUUCUUUAUCUUUUGCCGUGGUCGGGCAUUGAGCCGAGCUCAAUCUCACACCUUGCAAUACAGGCAAGAACCCUUUCUUGGACUGAUCCAUUUUGAACUUCUUCAAUAUCUUAUCAAGGUAUGUGCUUUCUGAAAGACCUAUGAGGCGUCUCGAUCUAUCCCUAUAGAUCAUGAUGCCUAAUAUGUAAGCAGCUUCUCCAAGGUCCUUCAUUGAAAAACACUUAUUCAAGUAGGCCUUAAUGUUGUCCAAAAGUUCUAUAUCAUUUCCCAUCAAAAGUAUGUCAUCUACAUAUCAUAUGAGAAAUGCUACAGAGCUCCCACUCACUUUCUUGUAAACGCAGGCUUCUCCAUAAGUUUGCAUAAACCCAAACGCUUUGGUCAUCUCAUCAAAGUGAAUGUUCCAACUCCGAGAUGCUUGCACCAGCCCAUAAAUGGAUCGCUGGAGCUUGCAUACCUUGUUAGCAUUCUUAGGAUCGAAAAAACCUUCCGGUUGCAUCAUAUACAGUUCUUCCUUAAGAUAGCCGUUAAGCAAUGCCGUUUUGACGUCCAUCUGCCAUAUCUCAUAAUCAUAGUAUGCAACAAUUGCUAACAUGAUUCAGACGGACUUCAGCUUCGCUACGGGAGAGAAAGUCUCAUCGUAGUCAACCCCUUGAACUUGCCGAUAACGCGACAAGUCGAGCUUUAUAGAUGGUAAUAUUACCAUCCGUGUCUGUCUUCUUCUUAAAGAUCCAUUUGUUUUCUAUCACUCGUCGAUCAUCGGGCAAGUCUGUCAAAGUCCAUACUUUGUUUUCAUACAUGCAUUCUAUCUCAGAUUGCAUGGCUUCAAGCCAUUUGUUGGAAUCUGGGCCCGCCAUCGCUUCUUCAUAGUUCGAAGGUUCACCGUUGUCUAACAACAUGAUUUCCAGGACAGGGUUGCCAUACCACUCUGGUGUGGAACGUGUCCUUGUGGACCUACGAAGUUCAGUAGCAACUUGAUCCAAAGUACCUUAAUCAUCAUCAUUAAUUUCCUCUCCAGUCGGUGUAGGCACCACAGGAACAUUUUCCUGAGCUGCACUACUUUCUGGUUCAAGAGGUAGUACUUCAUCGAGUUCUACUUUCCUCCCACUUACUCCUUUCGAGAGAAACUCCUUUUCCAGAAAGGAUCUGUUCUUGGCAACAAAGAUCUUCCCUUCGGAUCUAAGGUAGAAGGUAUACCCAAUGGUUUCCUUAGGGUAUCCUAUGAAGACGCAUUUUUCUGACUUGGGUUCGAGCUUUUCAGGUUGAAGUUUCUUGACAUAAGCAUCGCAUCCCCAAACUUUUAGAAACGACAGCUUAGGUUUCUUCCCAAACCAUAAUUCAUAUGGUGUUGUCUCAACAGAUUUAGACGGUGCCCUAUUUAAAGUGAAUGUAGCUGUCUCUAGAGCGUAUCCCCAAAAUGAUAGCGGUAAAUCGGUAAGAGACAUCAUAGAUCGCACCAUAUCCAAUAGAGUGCGAUUACGACGUUCGGACACACCGUUACGCUGAGGUGUUCCAGGCGGCGUGAGUUGUGAAACGAUUCCACAUUUUCUUAAGUGCGUACCAAAUUCAUGACUUAAGUAUUCUCCUCCACGAUCUGAUCAUAAGAACUUUAUUUUUCGGUCACGUUGAUUCUCUACUUCAUUCUGAAAUUCCUUGAACUUUUCAAAGGUCUCAGACUUGUGUUUCAUCAAGUAGACAUACCCAUAUCUACUUAAGUCAUCAGUGAGAGUGAGAACAUAACGAUAUCCUCCGCGAACCUCAACGCUCAUUGGACUACACACAUCAGUAUGUAUGAUUUCCAAUAAGUUGGUUGCUCGUUCCAUUGUUCCGGAGAACGGAGUCUUGGUCAUUUUGCCCAUGAGGCAUGGUUCGCAUGUGUCAAAUCAUUCAUAAUCGAGAGACUCUAAAAGUCCAUCAGCAUGGAGCUUCUUCAUGCGCUUGACACCAAUGUGACCAAGGCAGCAGUGCCACAAGUAUGUCGGACUAUCGUUAUCAACUCUACAUCUUUUGGUAUUCACGCUAUGAAUAUGUGUAACAUUACGUUCGAGAUUCAUUAAGAAUAAACCAUUGACCAUCGGGGCAUGACCAUAAAACAUAUCUCUCAUAUAAAUAGAACAACCAUUAUUAUCGGAUUUAAAUGAGUAGCCAUCUCGCAUUAAAUGAGAUCCAGAUACAAUGUUCAUGCUCAAACUUGGCACUAAAUAACAAUUAUUGAGGUUUAAAACUAAUCCCGUAGGUAAAUGUAGAGGUAGUGUGCAGACGGCAAUCAUAUCGACCUUGGAACCAUUCCUGACGCGCAUCGUCACCUUGUCCUUUGCCAGUCUCCACUUAUUCUGCAGCUCCUGGUGUGAGUUACAAAUAUGAGCAACGACACCGGUACCAAAUACCCAGGAGUUACUACGAGUACAGGUAAGGUACACAUCAAUUACAUGUAUAUCACAUAUACCUUUAGUGGUGCCGGCCUUCUUGUCCGCUAAGUAUUUGGGGCAGUUCCGUUUCCAGUGACCCUUCCCUUUGCAAUAAAAGCACUCAGUCUCAGACUUGGGUCCAUUCUUUGACUUCUUCCCGGCAAAUGGCUUACCAGGUGCGGCAACCUCUUUGCCAUCCUUCUUGAAGUUCUUCUUACCCUUGCCCUUUUUGAACUAGGUGGUUUUAUUGACCAUCAACACUUGAUGUUCUUUCUUGAUUUCUACCUCUGCUGACUUCAGCAUUGAAAAUACUUCAGGAAUAGUUUUCUCCAUCCCCUGCAUAUUGUAGUUCAUCACAAAGCUCUUGUAGCUCGGUGGGAGCGACUGAAGGAUUCUAUCAAUGACCGCCUCAUCCAGGAGGUUAAUGUCCAGCUGGGACAGACGGUUGUGGAACCCAGACAUUUUGAGUAUGUGCUCACUGAUAGAACUAUUUUUCCUCCAUCUUACAACUAUAGAACUUGUCAGAGACUUCAUAUCUCUCGACCCGGGCGUGAGCUUGGAAAACCAUUUUCAGCUCCUCGAACAUCUCAUAUGCUCCGUGUUGCUCAAAACGCUUUUGGAUCCCCGGUUCUAACCUGUAAAGCAUGCCGCACUGAACGAGGGAGUAAUCAUCAGCACGUGACUGCCAAGCGUUCAUAACAUCUUGGUUCUCUGGGAUGGGUGCUUCACCUAGCGGUCCUUCUAGGACAUAUGCUUUCUUGGCAGCUAUGAGGAUGAUCCUCAGGUUCCGGACCCAGUCCGUAUAGUUGCUGCCAUCAUCUUUCAGCUUGGUUUUCUCUAGGAACGCGUUGAAGUUCAUGUUGACAUGAGCGUUGGCCAUUUGAUCUACAAGACAUAUUUUGCAAAGAUUUUAGACUAAGUUCAUGAUAAUUAAGUUCAUCUAAUCAAAUUAUUUAAUGAACUCCCACUCAGAUUUGACAUCCCUCUAGUCAUCUAAGUGCUACAUGAUCCGAGUCGACUAGGCCGUGUCCGAUCAUCACGUGAGACAGACUAGUCAUCAUCGGUGAACAUCUCCAUGUUGAUCGUAUCCUCCAUACGACUCAUGUUCGACCUUUCGGUCUCUGUGUUCCGAGGCCAUGUCUAUACAUGCUAGGAUCGUCAAGUUAACCUAAGUGUUUUGCAUGUGUAAAACUGUCUUACACCUGUUGUAUGUGAACGUGGGAAUCUAUCACACCCGAUCAUCAUGUGGUGCUUCGAAACGACGAACUUUAGCAACGGCGCACAGUUAGGGAGAACACUUUCUUGAAAUUGUUAUAAGGGAUCAUCUUAUUUACUACCAUCGUUCUAAGUAAACAAAAUGCAUAAACAUAAUAAACAUCACAUGCAAUUAUAUAGUAGUGACAUGAUAUGGCCAAUAUCAUAUAGCUCCUUUGAUCUCCAUCUUCGGGGCUCCAUGAUCAUCUUCGUCACCGGCAUGACACCAUGAUCUCCAUCAUCAUGAUCUCCAUCAUCGUGUCUCCAUGAAGUUGCUCACCAACUAUUACUUCUACUACUAUGGAUAACAGUUUAGCAAUAAAGUAAAGUAAUUACAUGGUGUUAAAUCAUUGACACGCAGGUCAUACAAUAAUUAAGACAAAUCCUAUGGCUCCUGCCGGUUGUCAUACUCAUCGACAUGCAAGUUGUGAUUCCUAUUACAAGAACAUGAUCUCAUACAUCACAAUAUAUCAUUCAUCAUUCAUCACAACUUUUGGCCAUAUCACAUCACAAAGCAAUUGCUGCAAAAACAAGUUAGACGUCCUCUAAUUGUUGUUGCAUCUUUUACGUGGCUGCAGUAGGGUUCUAGCAAGAACGUUUUCUUACCUACGAUAAAGCCACAACGUGAUUUGUCAACUUCUAUUUACCCUUCAUAAGGACCCUUUUCAUCGAAUCCACUCCAACUAAAGUGGGAGAGACAGACACCCGCUAGCCACCUUAUGCAACUAGUGCAUGUCAGUCGGUGGAACUUGUCUCACGUAAGCGUACGUGUAAGGUCGGUUCGGGCCGCUUCAUCCCACAAUACUGCUGAAGCAAAGUAGGACUAGUAGUGGCAAGAAAGUUGACAACAUCUGCGCCCACAAUAGAUUUGUGUUCUACUCGUGCAAUAGAGAACUACGCAUAGACCUGGCUCAUGAUGCCACUGUUGGGGAACGUUGCAUAAAAUAAAAAAUUUCCUACGUUCACCAAGAUCAAUCUAUGAGUUCAUCUAGCAACGAGAGAGAGGAGUACAUCUACAUACCCUUGUAUAUCGCGAGCGGAAGCGUUCCAGAGAACGGGGUUGAGGGAGUCGUACUCGUCGUGAUCCAAAUCAUCGGAGAUCCUAGCGCCGAACGGACGGCACCUCCGCGUUCAACACACGUACGGUCAGCGUGACGUCUCCUCCUUCUUGAUCCAGCAAGGGGGGAGGAGAGGUUGAUGAAGAUCCAGCAGCACGACGGCGUGGUGGUGGAUGCAGCAGGGUUCCGGCAGGGCUUCGCCAAGCGACUAUGGGAGGAGGAGGUGUAGCAAGGGGGCGGGAGGCGCCAGAUGUCAGGGUGCGGUUGCCCUCCCCCCCUCUUUAUAUAGGGACCCCAGGGGGGGCGCCGGCCCUGGAGAUGGGAUCUCCCAAGGGGGGCGGCGGCCAGGGGGGUGGAGUGCCCCCCAAGGCAAGUGGAGGCGCCCCCUCCCCUAGGANNNNNNNNNNNNNNNNNNNNNNNNNNNNNNNNNNNNNNNNNNNNNNNNNNNNNNNNNNNNNNNNNNNNNNNNNNNNNNNNNNNNNNNNNNNNNNNNNNNNNNNNNNNNNNNNNNNNNNNNNNNNNNNNNNNNNNNNNNNNNNNNNNNNNNNNNNNNNNNNNNNNNNNNNNNNNNNNNNNNNNNNNNNNNNNNNNNNNNNNNNNNNNNNNNNNNNNNNNNNNNNNNNNNNNNNNNNNNNNNNNNNNNNNNNNNNNNNNNNNNNNNNNNNNNNNNNNNNNNNNNNNNNNNNNNNNNNNNNNNNNGGCUGGUUCCCCUCCCACUUCAGCCCAUGGGGCCCUUCGGGAUGGGUGGCCCCACCCGGUGGACCCCCGGGACCCUUCCGGUGGUCCCGGUACAAUACCGGUGACCCCCGAAACUUUCCCGAUUGCCGAAACUCCACUUCCCAUAUACAAUUAUUUACCUCCGGACCAUUCCGGAACUCCUCGUGACGUCCGGGAUCUCAUCCGGGACUCCGAACAACUUUUGGUUCGUUGCAUACUCAUAUUCAUACAACCCUAGCGUCACCAAACCUUAAGUGUGUAAACCCUACGGGUUCGGGAGACAUGUAGACAUGACCGAGACGGCUCUCCGGCCAAUAACCAAUAGCGGGAUCUGGAUACCCAUGUUGGCUCCCACAUGCUCCUCAAUGAUCUCAUCGGAUGAACCACGAUGUCGAGGAUUUAAGCAACCCCGUAUACAAUUCCCUUUGUCAAUUGGUACGUUACUUGCCCGAGAUUCGAUCAUCGGUAUCCCAAUACCUCGUUCAAUCUCGUUACCGGCAAGUCACUUUACUCGUACCGUAAUGCAUGAUCCCGUGACCAGACACUUGGUCACUUUGAGCUCAUUAUGAUGAUGCAUUACCGAGUGGGCCCAGAGAUACCUCUCCGUCAUACGGAGUGAAAAAUCCCAGUCUUGAUCCGUGUCAACCCAACAGAAACUUUCGGAGAUACCUGUAGUUCAUCUUUAUAGUCACCCAGUUACGUUGUGACGUUUGGUACACCCAAAGCACUCCUACGGUAUCCGGGAGUUACACGAUCUCAUGGUCUAAGGAAGAGAUACUUGACAUUGGAAAAGCUCUAGCAAAACGAACUACACGAUCUUGUGAUAUGCUUAGGAUUGGGUCUUGUCCAUCAUAUCAUUCUCCUAAUGAUGUGAUCCCGUUAUCAAUGACAUCCAAUGUCCAUAGUCAGGAAACCAUGACUAUCUAUUGAUCAACGAGCUAGUCAACUAGAGGCUCACUAGGGACAUAUUGUGGUCUAUGUAUUCACACGUGUAUUAUGAUUUCCGGAUAAUACAAUUAUAGCAUGAAUAAAAGACAAUUAUCAUGAACAAGGAAAUAUAAUAAUAAUCCUUUUAUUAUUGCCUCUAGGGCAUAUUUCCAACAGAGGAGGACUCCUCCUCCCCUCCCUUGGUGGUAGCCCUCUCCCUCCCCUCAAACCUAUAUAUACUCGGGGUUUUUGCUCUUUGGAACACACAAGUUAUAGAGCCUCCUCUAGUCCAUCUAGCACUAGUUCUAGUUGGUCCUAGUUGACUAAUUAGAGCUUGGUCUAUUUCCUCUAAUACUCAUAAUUAAAGUCCAACAUGGUUCUAAUCUCCUCCCUCUAAUUCUCUGGCGAAGAUUAGUUCUGGACGGCGAAGCGCUGCCGGAUCGUGAAGGCUACACGCUUACAACCAUGUAGAGGGGUUGUUCUUCCGGUCUUUGGUUCGAGGGGUUGUUUGUGGGUGGUUCACGGGAUCGUUCAUCGAUGAUUUGAGGGACUCUAAGUACAAUCUACAUCGACAUAUUCUUCUUCCGCUGCAACUCGGUGACGCUAACGAUUGUGAUCUCAACCCGUGAUGCAUCUUCUAUUAAUCUUGGGUGUGCGUAGGCGCGAUUUUUUUGUUUUCUACUAUGUUUCCCAACAGACCUUUUUAUAUAUAUCCGCACCCAGGGAGCAACUAGCCGACAGUUACCCCUUUGGGGGAAACUGCAACGGUCAUUUUUUGACACCUGGAGCGUGCCAAGUGGUGCGCUCAAACGUCGCGAUGUGUUGCUCUAGGCACACCCUUAACGUUCCAUUUUUUUCUGCACAUGUUUUUUUGUGUUUUUUUUUGUCUUUCCGUUUGUGAUUGGUUCUCCCUAGGUUUUGGUGGAAAAAACUGUUUGAUUCAAAACAAAUCGGGAUCAGUGCUUUUCUAUGUGCGAGAAACACAAUUGUGCUUCCUGAAAAAGAGAAGCACAAUUGUGCUUUCUUGCAAAAGGCGAAAGCACAAUGUGGGCUUUCGUGAGAGGCACAACUGUGCUUCCCAAAAAGGUAAAAACACAAUUAUGCUUUCUAAAAAAAGCAAAAAAGAAUAACCUUGCUUUCAAGAUUUUUUUUACCCAUUUUUUCAAUCUUUCUUUCGGUCGUAUUCUGUCGGCUUUUUUUUUCAAUUUUCAAGUUCAUUCGAUUCUCGACUUUUCAUGAAAAAAAGUUCAUUAAAACUAUUUAUAUGAGAUCUAGUUUCGAAGAUCUUGACGCAAGAAAUCCAACAUCAAAAAUAGUUCAUGAUUUAGAUGUUGGGUUUAAGAGAUAAAACUUGUUAAAAAUCUAUAAAAAGAAGAGAAAACUCGCUGACUGCAACAAGUGGCACACAUGGAAUGUGUCUUUUCUCAACAAUAAAGGUGGAAAAUAAACUUUGCAAGGGCAACCCUUAACUAGUGAUUUCGCCACGCCCAGCGAGAUCUUUCCUAUGCUCGCGUAAAGAUGCACUAGUGGGCCGGUCCAGUAACAAAAGGAACAUAGCUUCUCAUUUGUUUCUUUCAAUUUGUUGUUCGUUCUUCCAUAUUUUUUAUUUUAUUCAUUGUUUGUAUUUUUGAAAAAUAUCAUAAAAUAAAUAUAUUUCGAAAGUUAAACUUAAAAAUUAUAAAGUUGUGAAUUUAAAAAUGUUAAUGCCUUAUAAAAAUUGUAAUAUUAAUUUAGAAAAUUGUUAAUAGCAUUAUAAAAAAUGGGCAUUUCAUCUUAGAAAUGGAAAUCAUAUUUAUAAAUGUGUCGGAUGUAUAAGAAAAAUGUACAAUGUGAAUAAAAAUAAGUAGACAUCAAAACAUAUAUUUCAAUAAAUGUUAGUCAUCUAAAUUAAAAAAAUCUGUACAAAAACAUGUUUCCGAAGUAUACCAAAAAUGUACAAUGUGUAUAAAAACAAUAGACAUCAAUACAUAUAUUUCAAAAAAUAAUCAGGUAUUUGAAAAUUUAUAAAUGUGUACUAAAAAUAAUUUAGGUUUAUACAAAAUUGUACAACAUGUACGAAAACAUAGAUAUCAAGACAUAUAUUUGAAAAAAAUUAUCAUAUAUAUUUGAAAAAUUAAACAUAUAUAAAAAAUAGUUUAGCUGUUUACCAAAAAUGUACAAUCUGCAUGAAAGCAUAGACAUCAAAACAUAUGUUUGAAAAAAAAAUCUUGUAUUUAAAAAUGUAAACAAGUAUUUUUUUAGAUAUGUACGAAAAUGUACAAUGUGUACGGGGAAAAGUAGAUUUAAAAAUAUAUGUUUUCAAAAAUAGUUACAAUGUAUAUUCAAAAUGUUAAAAAUGUAUAUAAAAUAUGUUUCUAAUGUUUAUGAAAAUGUUUAAUGUGUACUGAAAAAAGGUUGCAUGUUUUGCGCAACAAAGAUACCGAUGAAAAUUGACAAAGACACAAAGAAAAACAACAAAAACUAAUAAAAACCAAAAAAUGGAAAAUAAAAUAAACGAAAAUUGAAGAAACCAAUGCAAAAGAAUGAAACAAUGAAUCCUGAGGAGGAAGCAAAGAAACCCAAGAAAAUAAGUAAAGACAAAUGAAGAAAGAAAGAAAAGCAAUUAAAAAAAUGUGAACCCGAGAAAGAACAUAGAAAAUGACUGAAAAAGGAAAUAAAGAAUAAAAAAACAAAAACAUGCAAGCAAUGAAGAAAAUAGGCGGAAAACAUAAAAUCAUUAAAAACCGGUGAAGAAACCACAGAAAAUAGAAAAACAAAAAGGUCCAAACCAGUAUAUCAACGGACAUAGCAGGCGGGCUAAGCUAAUGGGCCGGCCCUAUAUUCGUGCGCUUCAAAUUUGAGGAAAGCUAUACUCGCUAUAAGCGAGAUACACCUAUUAUCGCACAUUCCAUUGACUUUCCCCUAGAAUCAUAACCCAUACCCUAAUCACUAAAUGGGCCGGCCCAUUGCGGCUGCUGGCACUAUGGUUUUUUGUUUUUGUCCACUAUUUGUCUUCUGAAUUUCUUUUUAAGUUUUUAUAUUUUUUUAUCUAUAUUUUUCAUUUUUCCUUUGAAUCUAGAAUUUUAUUUUCUUUUCUUAUUUUUCUCAUUUCCUUUUCUCUAAUGUACGGACAUUUUUCAAAAUCUACUAGCACACAUGACCGUCCAUUGCGUUGGAAGAAAAAAUCCCAUGCGCCCCUAGCUCAAUAAGUAUGGUUCAAGGCCCUUCUUCCAACAUGUCCACGUCCUUUUUUUAACAUAGCGUCACACUCGUGUUGUCGCUUAUCCUCAUUCAAGUCCCUGCCGACGGUGACACGGUAUACAUACGAUCACAUCACAUCUGAACAUGGUUAAUCUCAAGGUGAUGAGCUCGGUCACCGCACGACACAACUGUCAUUAAACCGUGCCAGCAAGGGAAUCUUCAAAAACUUUAAAAACUAAUCUUGUCCAUCUAAUCUUGUCGAGAUGGACGUGAGUGCCAUCCUCCACGAGCUACUCCCUACACCAAGUGCAUCAGCACGACUACCUAUUUUGUACACGUAUUAGAGUAUGCAAUGAAUUCAACUAUCUUGAAAGACAUUCUAAGCUAAUACGACAUGGGGCAGUUCAAGCAGUUUUUAAGAAUAAAAAAUGAUCAAAAAAUAGGCAAAACCUGAAAUGGCGGAGGUGGGGUGGGAGAGUGGUUGCCAAGGAAAGAAAGAAACAUAAAUGUAAUCUUAUAACAAUAAAAUGAGAGAUAAAUCAUGAUGAUUUCAUAUAAAUAUUUAUGCCCUGUCAGAUGCACGCAUAAUACUUCCCCCAAUGUUCUCUCUUGCACAACAUAAUUCUUAUGGGCCAAAAGUACGGUGACGGUGCAAGGCGGAACGAGAGGAAGAAAAGAAAGUAAAGGCAUGUCUCAUCUUAUUACUCAUUGCCUAGCGGACGUGAUCUUUAUGACUACAAAUAAAUUCUAUCGCGGUGUAAUACAAAACAAUUGUCUUGGUAUUGUGCUUAGUCUGUAUGCUAAAUUUUCAACGCAAAUGGCGAGGUAAUGAAUCUUUCGUUUACUAAGAAUAAUGAAUAUGGACGCCAAAACCUCGUUUUUCUUCUAUAUUUUGAUGAACUUCUAGCACAUGGAAGUCACUUCCUUUUGCGCAUAUUACGCUGGACCUCUACAUAUAGACAAGAAUGAUUGUUUUGGUGUCGUGUCUAGCGCAUGAAACAAACUAUCAGUUCUUCUCGGGUUCGAGUCCAGCUUUCACAUUUAUUUAUUUUACCACGUCAAACAAUCCUUUUUUUCAAGCAAACAAGGCAUUUCCUAUUUGGCGCCACAGGCACCAGUUAACGUGCAUAUUUCGUUAACUGGCGCAUGUGGCGUCCCUAAAUGGGCCAGCCCAUCUAGGCGCCGGCUGACAUUUUCUUUUUUGAAAGUUCUGCGAACUUUUUUAAAUAUCUAUGAACUUUUUUAAAAAUUUCAACAGUUUUUUUCCAGAUUGAUGAACCUUUUUGAAUAUCGAUGAAUUUUUUUGAAAUUUGAUGAAUAUCUUUUUGAAAAAAUGGAUAAACUUUUUUAGUUUAUGAACUUUUUUAAGUUCAAUGAACUUUUUCUAAAAAUACAUGAACUUGUUUUGAAAUUUUAUGAACUUUUUCAUAUUUAAUGAACUUUUUCAUAUUUAAUGAACUUUUUAAAAAAAAUAAAGAACUUUUUAUAAAUUGGAUGAACUUUUUUCAAUUUGAAUAAACUUUUUUCAAAUUGAUGAACUUUUUUCAAAAUUGUUGAACCUUUUUUAAAGAUAUGUACUUUUUUUAAAUGGAUGAACCUUUUUUUCUUUAAAUCUGUAAACCUUUUUUAUUUCAUAUUUUUAUUUUCAUAACAAAAAACUAAAAAUAAAAUCUGGGGCAGCACGCUAGUGGGCCGACUCAUGCUAACAGCGCUGCAGGUGCCGGAUCGUUAACAGGCGCCUGCAGUGCUGCACAGGAGCUCCCUUCAAACAAUCAGUUGGUCUCAAGUUCACUGCUUGAGGCCCAUGUCCUUGAUGGCCCAUGCGGAUGAGUAAUUGCGCUGCUGGAGGCCCAGUCAGUGCUACGAGACGCGUGAGCAACGACUAAUAAAUGCAUUUUUUCUCAAAAAAAAGACUAAUAAAUGCAUGGUUUCUUAAAAGAAACUAAUAAACGUAUGGAGAACUAUGGAAUUUUCCUCCCUUGAUGAACUAUAUCAAAUCUUCUUUCCUUUAUUAUUAGGUAUAGAUAUAAAAUCUUUCUAAUUGGACCACAACAUCUUUUUCCUAUAUACGUGAACAUUUGCAAGUCUUUAUUUCUAGAACUCAUGCCGUAUAUUAAGUACGAGAUGUUAUGUACUCCCUCCGUUCCUUGAUAUAAGGUGUAUAGAUUUUUGAGAAAAAGUCUGAAAUAUAAGGUGUAUUGCGUUGCACCACUCGUUUGGAUAACUUUUUUAGGGAUUCGAUUACAUUUCCUUAUAUUAGGCAAGCUCCUCUAUAUUCUCAUGUCAAUUAGUCAGGUGUAAUCUCGCCCAAAAUUUGUGAAAGUUUCCCUCCACAUGCAUUCUUUAAUUUCCGUGCCAAAAACUAUACACCUUAUAUAUAGGAAUGGAGGGAGUAUCUCAUUAGAAAAUAGUUUUGUGUGGCUACCCUUUUUUAGAAUUGCUAGGACUUGUGAUCACCCGGUAGGAAGGUGGCCGAGGCAGCCACAGGUCUCGCCAUAUUCUGACGUUUUCCCCAUUGCCAAUUCGCCAAAUCAGACCCUUCUUGAGAAGGCCUAGACCAUGAUGGAUUGCAUGCCAUGUAGAGGACACGUUGCCUGCAAAAAUGGUAUUCACUAGAGAGCUGUUAAGGUAAUAUUUAGCUUUGAGCACUCUCGCACAAAGUGACUCCGGCUUUGUAAGUAGGCGCAAGCUUGUCUUGCAAGCAAUGCUUGGUUGAACAGGCGGAAAUCUCUAAAUCUCGACCCUCCUCUGCUCUUUGGUUCUGUUAUAUUGUCCCAUGCGACCCACUGAGCUUUCCUUUUGCCUUUCCUUUUCCCCACCAGAAGUUUCUGACCAAACUCGUAAGAUCAUCACAAGCUAAAUAUGGUAGCUUAAAAACACCCAUUAUGUAAGUUGGAAGGGCCUGACCAACUGAUUUAUCAUUGUCUCCUUGCCCGCCAUUGAUAGGGUGUCACCCCAAAGCAUGAUUCUCUUUCGCCGUCGCUCUUGCAAGUUCUGAACCCUUCCCUUACGCAUACAUCCAUCCGGUGUAGGGAGACCCAAGUAUUUCUCUUCAAAACUUUCAUCUUGGAUUCCAAAACAUCACGUACCUCCUGUUUGUCCACAUCUGCACAACACUCACCAAACCGAAUUGAGCACUUUUGUGGAUUAAUGAGUUGGCCAGUAGAGCUAGCAUAUGUGGCUAUGAUUUCCUUGAUAUGAACAGCUUGGUCAUGGUUACCUUUGAAAAAUAAAAGUGUGUCAUUCACAAAUAAAAGGUGAGAUAUACCCGGCGCAUUGGUGCACACUUUCACCGGGUCGAUCACAUGCAUCUCCAUACCCUGUUUGAGAAGCGCAGAGAGACCGUCAGCCACAAGCAGAAACAAGAACGGGGAUAAAAGGCCACCUUGCCGAAGCCCACGCGGCAGUACAAAUGAAUCCAAUAUAGCUCAAUGGACUUUAACUGAAUAUCUCACCAUGGUAACACAAGUCAUGAGCCCCACUGGUGAGCGAAGCCCAUCUUUUGCAUCGCUUGUCGUAGGAAACCCCAAUCAACUCUAUCAUAGGCCUUAGACAGGUCUAAUUUAUAAGCACAAAAAUUCCUUUCCUAAUUCUUCUCAUGCUGCAUGUAAUGGAGAUACUCGAAGGCCAAUAAUGCAUUAUCUGUGAUUAACCUUCCAGGCACAAACGCACUCUGCUCUGGUGAAAUAAUAUCGUCCAAAAUAGGUAUCAAUCUGUUAAUCAAGCACUUGGCAACAAUCUUAUAGAUGACAUUGCAUAAAAUAAUUGGCCGAAAAUGAGUAAGUCGGACUGGAUCUCUAACUUUAGGUAUUAAAACAAUUACCGUAUCAUUGACACCGGGAGGCAUAUGUCCAGAUAGAAAAAUUCUUGUACCGGCUUCACAAUUUCCUCCUUCAACACUGCCCAGGUGGCUGGAAAAAAUGGGCUGGAAAACCAUCUUUACCAUGUGCCUUUAAUGGCCCAAUCUGAAAAAGACCGUCUGAAAUCUCCUUUUCCGUAAAAGGCGCACACAACCUUUCAUUCAUUGGUGUGGUUACUCUUGGCUCAAAAAGAUUUAAGACCGGUGAAGGAUCAAGUUGUUCAUCUUUAGUGAAAAGGUUUUGGAAAUACGUACCAUCUUCCCCAUGAUUGUAUGGUCAGUAUGGCUGUUACCUGCAUCAUCUACCAGUCGCCACACCUUAUUUUUCCGAGCUCUCCACGCGGCCUUCUGAUGGAGAAAAAUUGGUGUUCUGAUCACCAUCACAAAGCCAAACGAUGCAAGAGCGUUGCAGCCACAUGAUCUCUUCCCUGUACAUUAUCUCACUCAUAUGAUCCUCAACCUUACCUAUUUCCCUUCUAUUAGCAUUCAUCGCCAUGAGUUCCUCGAGGCGCGUUCGAGAUUUUUCUAGCUCUCUAGUGACGCUGCCAAAAGCUUUCUUACUCCAUAUCUGUAGCUCGUCCAUAAGGGAGGAGACUCCACAAUGGACACCACCAAGGUCAUGCUUAACACUGGCAUUUGUCCAUGCUUGUUGGACUCUCUCUGGUAAACUUGAGUCACGUUCCCACAUCACCUCAUACUGUUUCUAUCGGGGUUGUUGUGUCUGCUUUUCUUUCUCGCAUAGCAGAACAAUAAGACAAUGAUCCGAGCAAGGAAUCACUUGGUGCACAACUCGAGCCUCUGAAAAUAUAUCCCUCCAGCUGUUAUCUGCCACAACUCGGUUCAGCCAUACCUUUACAUUUCGGUUACCAUGUCAUUUAUUAUCAUAUGUAUAAGCCAAGCCAGAGAAGCCCAAGUCAAUAGCUCGCACACCUCUACUUCAUCUGAGCUUCACUUCUCCUUGUAGCAGACAAAUGCUCAAAAGACCACAUAGCCUCAUUAAAAUCUCCUACAACACACCAUGGCAAGUCAGACUAAGCUUUAAGAUCUUGCAACGCAAUCCACAAGGGAUGACGGUUCUCUAUCCGGGGUUCUCCAUAAACACAAGUUAAAUGCCAUAAAGGAGCAUCAUCAGACAAACGAAUAUAAGCAUUAAUAUAUCUCUCCUUUAUUUCUUUAAUCUCAACAUGAGUCUGAUCACACCAAAACAGUGCCAAACCACCACUAAGACCAUUACUAUCACAACUAGCAAAACCUCCUAAACCUAGUAUACCACAAAGACGAUGAACUUUAUUCGCUUUCUAACACGUUUCACACAAGAACACCAACUUGGCAUUGACCGAUUCUACCAAGCUAACCAAAUCAUGAACUGUUGGGUCAUUGGCCACCAUCCCCUCCCCUUCGACAGUUCCAAGCUAAGCAAUUCAUGCUCCUGACGGGGCACAUCAUGUGUCCCCGUCAGUUUACCAGCGGCCCCUGGGCAGGCUGCCUCCGUUUGCAUGUCUCCUCCCAUGUCGGCGUCUUGCGUCAAACUCUCUGUACUAUCGAGCUUCUGUUUCUUUGGUGUCCCUAUACCUUGCUGCACCUCCUGCUCAGUCUGCCUGACAAAUGGAACAAGAGCUAAGCUUUCAUCAAUCCUUGUACCACCAAAGGUCUGCUGUGCACCUGCUACUCUCUUUCCCAGCAUAGAUUUUCCCUCCUCUAACUCCUCCAUGUUGGCGUCGUUAGCAUCUUUCUCCAGCGUCCUGAACAUGGGAAGCAUAUCAGAACUCUUCAAAUCAGCCAGGCAGCGGCCCUCGGGGUCCUUGGUGAAACUGGGGUGAUCACAAACCGCGCCAAUUGUCUCCUCGGAGAGUGGCACAGCUGAUCGACGCCCAGGGUCGCUGGGACCAGGGGCUGCUCCGCACUCACUUUAUGCCUCUUGAUGUCGAUGAGAUCAACAAGAUAAAGCUAAGCCCACAGUUGUUGGAGGACAUCAUCGCAUGGGUGUCAGACACCCUUGGGAUCUUCGGCGUAAGAAGCGCGUACAAGAUGGCCCUCGACGAGAAAAACCGCACUUCUAUAUAUGCAACGAGCAGGGCACCGGACGGCACCAGAGCCGUCUAGGACACGUUAUGGGGGUGUCCUGCUCCCCCAAAGGUACGCGUACUGGCUUGGCGAGUGGUGAAAAACACACUAGCUACUAUGGCAAUUUUUGCUAGAAGAAGUAUAUCUGAUACUGAUAUUUGCCUUUUGUGUGGUGUGGAACGAGAGGACACGCACCACAUCUUCUGUAGAUACACGCCAUGGAGGAGUCCUGGAGCACGCCAAAGCUGGACACUGUUGCUAAUACAGGACCGGAGUGGUUGUUGCACCUACUGGAACAGUGCAGCUAGCAGGAGCACCUUCCUCUGCUCAUGACGGUAUGGUGAAUAUGGCAUGUACAUAAUGAGAUUACCCACAGUAAGUCGACGCCACCUACUAAAGCAUCUUGGUGAUUCCUCUCGAGCUACAUGGACUCGUUGUUGUGCAUUAAACAACAUCUAAACACAGACAUUGCUAAAGGGAAGAUGGUGGUCAGCUAUGGUCAUGCGAAGAGUAAACAACAAGACCAUAUCUCCCCUGCUGACAACCCAAGGCCCCCGGAGAGAUGGAGCACACAACCGGAGGGAUGGUACAAACUAAACGUCGAUGGUGCCUUUCUGGAAGCGGACAAGACAGGAGCUGCUGGUAUGAUUCUUCGUAAUUCCGAGGGAGAGGUGAUAUUUGCAUCUUGCCGCUAUUUGACAUCAUGUGUGAGCGCGAUGGAGGCAGAACUCGCUGCUUGUCGAGAAGGGAUUUCACUCCCACUUGAGUGGAGCACGCUACCUUUCAUCUUGGAGAUAGACUGCACCAUUGCAUUGAGCAUGCUCAAGGGCAUGGAAGUUGAUAUAUCACCAGCUGCGGCAAUCAUGGAGGAAGCAAAACAUAUGUUGAGCUUGGGACGACCACAUGAAAUAAGACAUGUUAGGAGAUGCUUGAACUGUGUUAGUCAUGCACUUGCGCAAUUAGGGAGUCAGCCUCGUGCAGUAAUUUGGCUGCGCCAUGCCCACUAAUGCAGAACCGGGCUUUACUCCCGGUUCGUAAGGACCUUUAGUCCCGGUUCUGCAACUGGCACUAAAGGGUGGGGACUAAAGGCCCCCCCCCCCCUUUAGUCCCGGUUCAACACGACCCGGGACCAAAGGCCCACCACGUGGCACGAGCCCGCGCCAGGGGCUGGGGGAUCUUUAGUCCUGGUUGGUAACACCAACCAGGACUAAAGGAUUUUUUUUGAAAAAAAUGAUUUUUUUUAUUUUCAAAUUUCUGAAUUAUUUGACGAUUUAAUCUCCAAUCACCCCUCAUCACUGCUCAAGUGUGGAGCAAUCAUUUCAAAUCGUCUAACUUCCCGACCGGUCACUCAUUCUCUCACUACUCCAACAUGAGUACGCUUAAUUUCCGAGUUCUAUUCCCCCUGGUUUUCAAGUCUGCAUUUGUUGUUUUCUUGAUAAUAGUAAGUUAUCAAUUUUAUUAACCCUAAGGAGUUUAGCCUGAGCAUGAAGUCACGUUUCACCGUUUGAGUUUGAAACUAUUAUUCUAAAAAACAAUAAUUAUUUAAUAACACUAAUAUUUCUUCAAUAAGUAGUUUGACCAUAGUUUGACUAUAGUUUGACCAUAUUUGACCAAAAUUCAAAAAAACUAAAAUAAUUAUUUACUAACACUAAUAUUCUUGAAUAAUUAAUUAGUAACACUAAUAUUUCUUAAAUAAGUAAUUUGACCAUAGUUUGACCAGAUUUAACCAAAAUUCAAAAAAAAAUUGAGCAUAGCUUUUUUUCGCUUUCAGAAUUUGAGGAUUCUAAAAAUUUGCAAAAUGGCCUACGGCAGCCGAAAUUGGAACCGCAUUUUUGUGCUGAACAUUUUGAUAUAUUAUACGUUUUUUCGACAUCAUAUGCAAAAGAUAUAGUCAUUUACUUUUUCAUAACAUUUUUUUGCAAAACAUGUCGAAAUUUAUGUUUUUAAAUUUCCUUAACUAGUAGAUGUAGUAACAUAACUACAUCUCGAAGGGUUUUAAUUUUUAAAGUUUUUAUCAUUUUCUUUUUUUUUUCAAAACUAAAAAGGCGAUGGGGGAGGGGGUAGAGUUUGAGAAUUGCACAAUCCCUUUAGUCCGGGUUGGAGCCACCAACCUGGACUAAAGGUUAGACCCCUUUAGUCCUGGUUGGUGGCUCCAACCCGAACUAAGGGUCUAACCUAUAGUCCCGGUUUGUGUUACAAAUUGGGACUAAAGGGGCUCGUGGGGUCCCGGCCUGACGCCAGCCUGCCACCACCCCUUUAGUCCCGGUUUGAGACAUAAACCGGGACUAUAGGUCACAAAUAAACCGGGACUAAUAGUAUCAUUAGUACCAGGCCGUAAUUGAAUCGGGACUAUUGAGGUGAACGUAAUGUCGUUUUUCUACUAGUGGCCCCUGAACAUAUCUUAGCCUUAUGUAAUCUAGACUAUAAUGCUCCUGGUUGAUGAAUGAGGUUUUACAUUCGCAAAAAAGAACUGCUAGGACUUUAUGUAUCCCAUCGUAAUCUUCUUCUUUAUUUAUUGCACCUACUACCACAGUAUGACUGGCAUGGCACUAACAACCUAACCGUACCUUUGGGAUUUCAUUUUUUAUGCACACAUUUUCAGGUUUUAUUUGGCUUUUCUUUGACUAGCAAAAGAGCCCGUUGUCGGUGUCAAAACCGGCGGAUCUCGGGUAGGGCGUCCCGAUCUGUGCGUCUAAGGCUAAUGGUAGCAGGAGGCAGGGACACAAUGUUUUACCCAGGUUCGGGCCCUCUCGAUGGAGGUAAAACCCUACUUCCUGCUUGAUUGAUCUUGAUGAUAUGAGUAUUACAAGAGUUGAUCUACCACGAGAUUGUAGAGGCUAAACCCUAGAAGCUAGCCUAUGAUGAUUAUGAUUGUUCUUCUACAGACUAAACCCUCUGGUUUAUAUAGACACCAGAGGAGGCUAGGGUUACACAGAAUCGGUUACAAAGAAGGAGAUCUAAUAUCCGAAUCACCCAGCUUGUCUUCCAUGCAAAGGCAAGUCCCAUCCAGACACGGGACGAAGUCUUGAGUCUUGUAUCUUCACGGUCCAACAGUCCGGCCAAAGUAUAUAGUACGGCAGUCCGGAUACCCCCUAAUCCAGGACUCCCUCAGUAGCCCCUGAACCAGGCUUCAAUGACGAUGAGUCCGGCGCGUAGAUUGUCUUCGGCAUUGCAAGGAGGGUUCCAUCUCCGAAUACUCCAAAGCAGAUUAAGGAUUAUGUCCAGCUCUGCGAGAUUAUUUCCGCACACCACCGUAGAGAGCAUAACACUUUACAAAUCUGAUCUGCUGACAAUUUUUUUUCACAGUGAGUCCUUACGCAGUGGCCUGGCUCAAUACAAACCGGUUUUUCUCGGCCUGCCUCGACACGCGUUGCGAGGUGGUUUUAUUGGCACGCCUUGCCAAAGCAGAGAUCGUGUUCCCAUUAUCGUGGGAUCCUCCAUCAAUACGGGCGCGUGCAACCCCACGACGCCUGUUGGUAUGACUCCGUGUUUUUAGGUAAGUCCCAAGCGGUUACGGUGAGGACGCUUGAUAUUCACCCCCUUUAUAGAGGGGUCGAGGCCUAUCCCUCUUUCCUACCACGCUUGCGCCUUUCCGCAUCUCGAGUUCCAACACCCGAAGCCCAAGCUUAAGCACUUCGGAUCUUCAAUCAUGUCCGGAUCCAACCUUCAAGGCCGGUGGAUGGCCUCCUCUGUCAUAGAGGAGGACAUUGCGAAGCUUAGGGAGGUCAGAUAUCUGACCGCCGACAUCAAGCACAGGCUUCCUGCUCCAGGGCAGGUCAUCCCUACUCCCGAACCCAACGAGAGCGUCGUAUUUGUUUCUCACUUCCUCUGCGGCUUAGGCUUCACCCUCGAUCCCUUUGUGAGAGGGCUCAUGUUCUAUUACGGGCUAGAUUUUCAUGAUCUAGCUCCGGACUCCAUCCUUCACAUCUCAUCGUUCAUCGUCGUGUGCGAAGCCUUCCUCCACAUCACCCCGCACUUCGGCUUAUGGCUCAAGACCUUUAAUGUGAAACCAAAGAUGAUUGAGGGGCGACACGCGGAAUGUGGAGGUGCUGCAAUAAGCAAGAACGCCGAUGCCCCAUGGCCAGAGGGCUUCUUCCUGGAGGUGUCCGAUCUAUGGCAGCGGAGGUGGUUUUACGUCAUGGCUCCCAGAGGCACAAAGUGGGUGGCUGCCCCCGACUUCCGCUCGGGCCCUCCGCCUCAACUGGCGUCGUGGGCCAAUGUGGGACUGGAUUGGGGGCCUGCUAAUGAUGUACCAACAUUGCAGAACCGCAUUCGGGAGCUUCUUGAGAGGGACAUUAGUCUUGUUAGUGUAGUUCAGGUAAUGCUAGUCCGACGGAUCUUGCCGUGCAAACGUCGGCCUCUCCGGAUGUGGGAGUUCAACCCAGAAGUUCCGUGGACUAUUCUGCACUUCUUCAGCAUGACGCUCGAAGAGAUGUGUAAAUUAUUCUUCGGACCACAAGUAAAGUGUCCGGACACCAUCGAGGAUGCGGGCCUGAGCUGCAACCAGCCCGAUACCCAAGUAAGUAACCCAGAAACCAAACACUUCGUUUAUAUUUAUCAUAACAUUGUUCUGAAAACCAUCCGCGGCCAGGAAUGGCUCAGCAAGGCGGAGAGAAUCAGGUGUCGGGCACCGCUUCCCGAAGGCUCGCCUAGUCCUGCCAUAGCCAGGAUGCUUAGUCGUGUGCUAAAUCAAGUGCCCUCGGGGAAAGAUGAAGGGAAGAACAGAGAAGCAGAGCUUCACACAUUGCACAUCCAAACUGGGGGAAUUACUACCUCCACGAAGGAGGAUAGUCGGGGAGGGGAAUCUACGGUCUCCUCCCCCCGCGGGAAGAAGAGGGACGCCUCUGAAGACUUGGAGACGGAGGUGUCUAGACAGGGGAAGAAAACUUCACCAGGGGGCCCUGCCCCGAAGGGCGUCCUCACCGCGCCAUGCCCGCAAACGGGCCAGCCCUCAGCCGAGCUGUAAGUUAAUCGUAAAUACAAAGCUACUACUUCCUCCUCCGAGAACAAUAACCAGGAUCAAUUCUUUGCAGUCCGGCUAGCAGCUCUUCUCAACAGAGUUCGUCUUCGGGGGAUCUUCUUCCGGAGAUGAUGGAGAUUGAAACCCCACCCGCCUCUCCGCCUCAUGGGGCGGGCGACCCCGAGGUGUCGUCACGGAGGAACCCAGAUUUUCCGAGGCCAGAAGCUAAUACUUCGGCCGCCCUGAGCCCGGAGCAUUCGGCUCCCACGGGGGGUGAUAAGAAGGGUCCGGCAUAGUUCAGCGACCGGCCGGACACGCUGACAGGCCUUCUGGAGCAAGCUGCUCUCUCGGAGGAUUACCGUUCAUUAAUGAGCAUGGUGCUUGAGAAUAUUUCAUCCGCCACAAGCGGGUUGAACGAAGCUUUUACGAGCCUGCUCAAAGGCUUUGAGGUAUGUAAUAAAAUUCAUAAUUUUUGCUUGUGGCGCACGCGCUAGGUGUGCUCCGUAUAGAUAGUAGCCCCUGAGACUCUGGUUGCCAGCCCUAGGCGGCAGACGGAGGAUCACAUUGUUAAGUAAUGAUCACACUGAAUUCAUGCGCAGGUGGCUAAGGGUCCGGCGGCCGACCGGUCCGUUGAAGUCGCCGAACUGAGGCGACAGAUUGAAGUUGUGGAUGCCGACAUCACACUUGUGAAUGAGCGGCUUAGCGAGUCACAAAGUAUGUGCUCUGCUUUCUUUAUUUUUAUAGGAAAUAUUUAAGAGGAGCAUAAUGUUAAUGUGAUAUGCUUCGACUGCAGGCGGGGCUGCCACCAUGGAGACCCUGAGGGUGGAGCUUGCCCUAGCCAAGGAGCAAGCCCGGGCUAGCAAUGUGGCUGCCCUAAAGGCGGCCGAAGAGUUGAUAGCCGAACAGGCUGCUAAUCACCAAAGCGAAGAUAAAUUAGCCGAGAUGGCUGUGGAGCUGAAAAACGCCGCCGGCCGGUAUGAGCUCCUUGAGAAAGAGAAUCAGGCGAAGUCGGAUAACCUGAAGAAGGCCCUUGAUGCGGCCAAGGAGACGCGUUUCGAAAUUAGGGAUGCGCGGGAGGAGCUUUGACAGGCCGGAGAAAUCGCGGCUGGAAGCCCCUAUUUGUUGCGGAUGAAGUUCUUAGAUCCAAAGUACGCUCCUCUACAUCAGCGCUGGAGCCAUGCAGACGCGUAUGCGGAUCUGGCGAAGAGUACGGCUGAUGCGGCCAAGUUUUUCUAGGAUCAAAAAGAUAAUGAAGUGGAAACGUUGUUCUGGUUGCAAUUCAGUGCUCCAACGCACCUGUUGCCCUUGAGUGAAAGGAUGGCCGCUGUGGCCGAGCUCCAUAGGUUGUCCGGUCUUGCGAUGAGGUCUGUAAUAGACCAUCUAUGGCCAAAGGGGCUGAAGCCGGACAUUUAUUUUGGUUUAGUGCAACAAUUUCUUGGUGUUGUAUCACGAAUCGAUGCCAUGAAGAGGUCGACGAGCAUAGAGGGUGCGCGGAUGGCUCUUGCUUGUGUUAAAACAUAUUGGACAGAUAUGGAGGCCACCAUCAUUGCAACCCAAAAUCCGGCGGGAAGCCAGGAUCCAGCCGAGCACUACUUGGAGCAGGUAACAGAAGGUGCUCGUUUAAUAGAGGCUCAGUGCUCGAAGAAUGUCAUGUUCGAGUGACAAAUCGUUCUAUUGUAAAAACAAUUGUAUUUUAAUUAUAGAGGCUAUGUUUAUACUUUCUCCCGAAAGUGCUAUUGUGCCUCCUGUGCGGCCGUUUGAUGUAUAUAUAACCUGAAAGUUAGUAGUCGUUGGCUUCAGCCCCCACACAUACAACACGGAGGUGUUCGCAAAAAGAUGCAUAAUCACACUUGAUCCAACGUCUUGGUCCGUUAAGGAGGUGAUCGCAUGUCGAACUAGGCAACCGGACUAUAUAGCUUUAACACUUCCACUUAGCCAUAGGAGUUUGACAGUGGGGCUACUAUGUAGCCCCUGGUACCUUCGCGUUCAUCCGGAUACGGGCGCGUAUGUACAUGACCGGGGAACGGCCCUUCAUUAAUGCGAAGGAACCCUAAAGAUUCCGAUGAGUCCUCGAGUGGUUGACCAGUCUCUCGCUAUAUCAUGACAGUCAGUUCUCGGCUUUCUCUACUGAGAUGCUCAUCCGGAAUAACCAGGGCACAAUCACAGUAGUUCUCCUUUGGCCGCCUUAGCUAAUAAAAACGGAACGUAAGGCAGCAAAACCCAGGAGCCAGGCAAACCCAACAUUUGACCAAAGACAUGAUUCGGAGCUGAUGCAUAUAAGGCCAAACUCGCGACGCCGAACACUCCCGAGGGUAUUCGGACUUUAUAACAUGUACUGGGCUGAGUAACACCCUUUAUUAUGAACCCUGUAUUUCCAGGUACGCGCAUUAUUCUGUCGUGGCGAAAUGCCAAUAAUGCCAGUAUCCCCUGUGGGUGUAUUGAGUACCCAUGGGAUGUUAAGAAACAAGAGACAAUAAAGAAGAUUUACACAGGGGCUUAAUCUAAAGAGAAACCUUUGAGCGGGGCCCUGCUGCACGUCUGCGCCUUUAUCUCCGUUGUGCCGUGUACUGGAAGGGUAUCACAUGAAUGUUAUCUGAAAAAAGGAAAACUCAUGUAAAAGAGUAUGAUGUAAGCGUGCGAAGAGUUGGUUAUUAUCAGUGGAUAGCAGAAGUGUAAGACAUUGGCCUGUUAAUAAGGUCAAGCCAAAAGGUGGGCUUUAUUGAAUAUCUGUAGCCCCUGGUGUCCUCUAUGGGAUUACAUGUAUAGCACCCAGCUUAGGUUUAUUUGGGCUGUUACUGACGGUGGUGUGCCGGACUCAUCUAACCGUGUCCGUGGUCUUAACGACCGAUCAUGCAUUCUGAUAUUAGAGGUCGCUUAGCGUCCGGCUGCUAGAGCCGCCGCAUACUCUUCCGCACGCAAGGAAUGCUCUGUAUUUCCGUUAACGGUGAUGACGCCACAUGGGUCGGACAUCUUGAGUUUAAGGUAGGCGUAGUGCGGUACUGUGUUGAAGUGGGCAAAGGCCGCUCUCCUGAGCAAUGCAUGAUAACCACUUUGUAGGGGAGCGAUGGUGAAGAGUAGUUCUUCACUUCUGAAGUUGUCUGGAGAACCGAAUGUCACCUCUAAUACGAGGGAGCCCCUGCAGCGGGCCUCAGCGCCUGGUAUCACCCCUUGAAAGGUAGUGUUACUUUGGCUGAUUCUGGAUGGGUCUAUCCCCAUCCUGCGGACAGUGUCCUGGUAUAUUAGAUUGAGACUACUGCCGCCGUCCAUGAGGACACGAGUGAGAUGGUAUCCGUCGAUUAUUGGGUCGAGCACCAAGGCAGCCGAUCCUUCGUGCCGCAUACUAGUCGGGUAGCCCCUGUGAUCAAAGGUGAUCGGGCAGGCCGACCAGGGGUUGAGUUCGAGGGUGACGGGCUCUACAGUGUAUGCGUCUCUGAGCGCGCGUUUGCGCCUACUCUUGGGUAUGUGAGUCGCGUAGAUCAUGUUUACUGUUUUUACCUCUGGUGGGAAUUUUUUCUGUCCCCCAGUGUUCGGCUGGCGAGGCUCAUCCUCGUCUUCACUUGGUGUUUCCCUUUCCUUGUGUUCGACAUUUAACUUGCCGGCCUUCUUAAAGACCCAGCAUUCUCUGUGAGUGUGGUUCCCAGAUUUUUCGGGGGUGCCAUGAAUUUGGCACAGUCUGUCUAGGACUUUGUUCAGUCCGGACGAUCCCUCUUUGCUGCCUUUAAAUGGAUUCUUUUGUUGACCGGGUCGAGAGCCCCUGAAUCCGGCGUUGAUCGCUAUGUUGUCUGGACUUUCUUCCUUGUUUCGACGCUUGUUUUUAUUGCGCCGUGGCUUCCCGUUGCCAUCACUGAUUUUGGAUGUGCCUGGGUCGCUGGUGCCUCUACGGGCCAACCAGCUGUCUUCACCCGCGCAAAAGCGGGUCAUAAGGAUUGUUAAGGCUGCCAUUGUCCUCGGCUUUUCUUGGCCGAGGUGUCUGGCGAGCCACUCAUCCCGGAUGAUGUGCUUGAAGGAUGCUAGGGCUUCGGCAUCCGAACAAUCAACAAUUUGAUUCUUCUUAGUGAGGAAUCUAUUCCAAAGCUUGUGGGCGGACUCUCCAGACUGUUGAAUUAUGUGACUUAAAUCGUCAGCGUCCAGAGGUCGGACAUAGGUUCCUUGAAAAUUGGCCCUGAAAGCGUCCUCAAGUUCCUCCCAACUUUCGAUUGAAUUUUCGGGGAGGCUUUUCAACCAGUGCCGAGAUGGUCCCUUCAAUCUUGAGGGGAAGGUAUUUGAUGGCGUGGAGGUCGUCCCCCCGAGCCAUAUGGAUAUGAAGGAUAAAAUCCUCAAUCCAGACCCCAGGGUCUGUCGUUCCGUCAUAUGCCUCUAUGUUCACGGGUUUAAAACCCUGUGGAAAUUCGUGGCCCAGUACCUCUUCGGUGAAGCACAGAUGGUGAGCAGCCCCUCUGUAUCUGGACAUGUUGUGGCAUGCUGUCGAUUGUUGUUGUGUCUGGUGCUGAUUCCGAACUGUUAUUCGAUCAGUUUGAUUGUUUUGGUGACCAUAAUCCUGCGCUGGAGCGUGCCCUCUAGAUCCAUAGAUGGACCUCGUCGCGCCGGCCUUUUUGUCCAGGAGCUCACGUAAAUCGUGUGCGGCGUCAGUAGCUGCUCUAUUGUGGUCAUGAAGUGGUUGGUCCGGCCUACUGGCCGUAUUGUUCUUCGAUGGAAUAGCCUCAUCGUCGAAUUUUGGCAGCAGCUUGCGCUUUGGGUAGCUCUUUGUGUGGUGAUCGUCGCCGUAUUUUUCUUCAGUGUCUAGCACUUUAUUCCAUCUGCGAUUGAGCAUUUCCUGCGCGGCCUUAAGCCUUUGCUUCUGCUUCUUUAGACUUCUCGAAGUGGCCAUAAGCCUUCUGUGGAGGUUAUCUCGUUCCAAACAUUUUUACGGGAUGAUGAAUGCAUCGUCGCCCGGACUGUGCACCUCUCCCGAGGCAGUUUGAUGAGUAAGGCCCUCGGGAUCGCUGUGAUCGAGCGUCUGCUCUGGGAUGUGUUCGGCGUGACUGGCUCAUCCUGCUCCAUCGCUGGGUCCAUAUGGUCGUUGUUGCCUUUGGAGUUGGUGGGGUGUCGAUCUUUCUAGCACUGUUAUCGCUAUUUUUACUGUGGCUGGACUUAGAGUGGCGUCUACGCCGUCGUUUUGGCUUUUGUCCGGGGGUUUUAUCCUCCGUUGUGUCUUUUUUGUCGCUGUCGUCCUCCUUAGGCGUGUCCACCAUGUAUAUAUCAUAUGAUGAGGUGGCAGUCCAGCGCCCCGUGGGCGGUGGUUCCAAAUCAUCCCCUGCGCCGACGUCCAUACCGUCGGUGUCAUCGGAGUCGAAGUCAAGCAUGUCUGUUACGUCAUUGACAGUGGCUAUGAAGUGGGUGGUGGGUGGGCAACGAAUUUCCUCGUCGUCUGCUUCCCACUCGAGCCGGACAUAGUUUGGCCAAGAGUCUCCUGACAAAGAGAGAGACUUUAAUGAGUUCAGCAUGUCGUCAAAGGGCGAGUGGUGGAAGAUAUCCACAGCGGUGAACUCCAUUACCAGAGCCCGACCAGAUUCGGCGGGCUCGGGAGCGCGCGGUCUGGAACCUACAGCCGGACACGAGUCCAGGGGUCCGGUGACACAGGCUUCCUUGGGGGUGGAGUCUGUGUUCGGCUCUACCGCCGAUGAGUGUGUGGCCUCCGGGGCGGGGUCCAUCCACCUGUCCUCGGACGCCGUGAUCUGGCCCGGAUUUAGGUCUGGAGCUCCUGCAGGUGCGAUAUCCCGAAUAUUGUUCCGACAGCAGGUCUAGGCCGUGCUCGUCGUGACUGUUCGGUGCGCCUGGCGUAGGCCCGAAUCCGUCAAAGAUCAAGUCUCCGCGGAUAUCGGCCGUGUAGUUCAAGUUUCCGAACCUGACCUGAUGGCCAGGGGCGUAGCUGUCGAUCUGCUCCAGAUGGCCAAGCGAAUUGGCCCGUAGUGCGAAGCCGCAGAACACGAAGAUCUGUCCAGGGAGAAAAGUCUCACCCUGGACCGCGUUGUUGUUGAUGAUUGAAGGAGCCAUCGAGCCUUGCAACAACGACACAGAGGAACUCUCAAUGAAAGCACCAAUUUCGGUGUCAAAACCGGCGGAUCUCGGGUAGGGGGUCCCGAUCUGUGCAUCUAAGGCUAAUGGUAACAGGAGGCAGGGGACACGAUGUUUUACCCAGGUUCGUGCCCUCUCGAUGGAGGUAAAACCCUACUUCCUGCUUGAUUGAUCUUGAUGAUAUGAGUAUUACAAGAGUUGAUCUACCACGAGAUCGUAGAGGCUAAACCCUAGAAGCUAGCCUAUGAUGAUUAUGAUUGUUCUUCUAUGGACUAAACCCUCCGGUUUAUAUAGACACCGGAGGAGGCUAGGGUUACACAGAGUCAGUUACAAAGAAGGAGAUCUAAUAUCCGAAUCGCCAAGCUUGUCUUCCACGCAAAGGAGAGUCCCAUCCGGACACGGGACGAAGUCUUGAGUCUUAUAUCUUCACGGUCCAACAGUCCGGCCAAAGUAUAUAGUCCCGCAGUCCGGAUGCCCCCUAAUCCAGGACUCCCUUACCCAUGCACUGCAAUGGGAAAAAAUAUCACACGUGGUUUAGCAUUUUAGCAAUACAAUCGCCGACUUUCAUAUGUCUAGUUCAUUCACUCCCGUGUCCAGGCUGCUCGGGUGCCCAUUGCAUCUAGCUACAACGAUUCCACGAGCCCUCUCGCGGGGGCGACGUGUGUCGUCCGACCCCAGACGAACCGAUGUCUGUCCCUUUCGAUAUCUUCUUAGCGGUCGUCAUCCUCGUCUCUCCCCCAUUGCUCUUCUCACACUCUCGGUUCCUUCUCCCUUUCCAGCGGGGAACUACCACCAUGAGCAGCACUCCCAGUCCCCCUCUCGACGGUCGCCACUACUUCACUUCAAGGCCUCCCCCAUAGGCUCUCGAUCCAGAUCGGAUCGGAUCAAGGCCAUCACCUUCUUCCUCUCUUCCUUCACCCUGAGCAGGAGCAAAAGCAGGGAGCCGCUGCCGCCAGCACCACGGACGUCGUCGCGUCGCCGCCGCCUUCCAGGUCAUCGGUCGCCAUCGCCCAUCCCGGGCCGUCCCUCACCGGCAGGGCGUAGCCGCAGGCGCCUGUCCUUCUCUGCGACCAACGCCGACAACGCUGCCAUGGACCGUCCCAGGCCGUCCCUUGCCGGCGAUGCGCCCGUCCGAUUAUUUUGUGUUCCCAAGGUUUUCCAUCCGAGUCAACGGAUUUGUAACCUCCGAUUAUUUUGUGUUCCCAAGGUUUUUCCAUCUGAGUUAACGGAUUUGUAACCUCCUUAUUCCCUUGCUCCCUCUUCCCAAUUGUGAGGUUAAUCUCUGGUUUGCUGAUUUUUGAAACGAAACUGCAAUUAGAGAGGCAAUAAUGCUCUCUUUUAUUGAGUGGUGGGGUCCACUAGGACGUGUUGGCCGUCGGUUGGUCUUGCACAUGCGUGUUGCUAUGUCCCAUGCUCAGGAUUCCUUCAACAAUUAGAGAUUUCAUUGUUCCUCCUUUGAUCAAUUCCAUCCCUUUCAUGGGAGUGGCGUUUUGGUGCCCGUGCCCAGCUACUCCCGAAAUCAUCGUCGUUCGCUCGGUGCUCCGGAUGAGAACAAUCCAGCUAGCAGCUCUGGUCCAUGGACCAGGACGUUGGCUCUUGCACUGAGCCACGGAUCAGAAAAAAGUGUGCAACCUGACAUUACACGUGCGCUUCACGUGAGCACACAACAAAUCAUAGUGGCGAUCUCCCCAGUACCUGGGUCGUUCUAGAAUCGUCUCCACACCUCUGCCCGCUGAAAUCAUCUCUCUUCCACCUUCGUAGAGCACCGGAAAGCCGCGCGGCGGCACAAAAUCUGUACCAGAAACCAGAAGAUGGAAGAUUGUGGGCUUGAGUUAUUGCUCGAUGCUGUCAACAGGUUAGUCCCCGUUAAAUCUAAUCUUUUUACUUAGGGUAUAAAAACUGUCAGCCGAUAGACCGGGGAAAUAUGCUAACGGCUGCCAUGGCCGGACCUUGUUGCCUCUUGAAAUCAGGUUACCGCUCCGGGGAGGAGUUCGCCAACAGCAUAAACCACCCAGAUCCGGUGCCGCUAGCCUUUCUACGGAAGAGCUUGACUAACGGUGGAGGCCAGACGAACUAAAACAAUGGGUCAGGUUGCGGCAAGAGAACGAACGGGACCGUACGCCGCCGUUCGGAUCCUUUUCAUACGCACUCAGUGUAGUCAACUGAUAGAGUUGACCCACAAGCCCCGGGUUGGACAAAGGUCUGAACCCCAAAUACUAUCGUUUUAGAACUGCAGUUUUCAGAGUGACCGUCGCGCAAACUGUUUCUUUGGGUCGGUGAGACAUGAGAAAAACGCACCAGACAUGGCGGAAGACGAACCAUGGAGCACGGCAACGGGUUUUUCUGGAUAGUGUUUCUUGUGAAGGGGAGCAGGAUGAGGGGAAUGCUGUUAUGGAUGGGCUGGGGCAGGGCAGGUGACCUUCAAGGAGGCCUGAGUCACGGCCACGGCUCACGGUGGAACAGGAAAAUGCCCGAGCCAUGAACCCACCUGCUCCACACAUACUGUUUCGGCUCCGUCGCCAUCAAUGCAUGACAGUGCUGAGGCAUUUUUUAUAACAAUACAUUACAUAUACGACUAGAAAAUAUAAUUGCGGGCACAAAUCCUCGUGCAUGCGAACGGAUAUGAUUUUGAGAGCAUCUGAGCUUGAGCUCAGAAACGAAUAUCCCACGAGUAAAAAGGUUUUCCGGAUACAUAGCAUUCCUACAAUUAGCUACUAGAAGCCAGAAGGUUUCGUCCAUAAGAUUUGCAUAAGCAACAUAAGAAGUUCAACACUGGUAAAGUAGAUCGAAACUUGCAUGCAUGUCUAAGCACUCUAGCUUGAUUAGCAGUGCCCAGACUGAUCGGUGUAUCGGUUGGUUACGAGUAGGGCAGCUGUUGAGCGCAGUCCAAGUUGUCCCCAAGGUCCUUGACGUCGAGGAUCUCGCAGUACCGGCGGUAGUACCCGAUCCUAUCCUCCACCCUCGGAUCCCCAGGGCGGUUGCACUCGAGCCCGCCGUUGAUGAUGUUGGUGGUGAGCCCGAGCCCCGCCGUCCGGUUUGCCAGCUUGUCGGCCUCGGUGGGCACGUACCGCCCCAGCAUCACGUCGUGGCACGACGGCUUGGGCUCCUGCGGCGUCAUCCAGAACCACAGCGCCGCCUUGAACGCCACUACCGGAUCGCUCGCCACGAGCUCCGGCUGCCCCAGCCCGUCGAAGCACAGCGCCUCCCCCGCCGGCCCGUAGUUGUAGUUCCUGAAAAAUAGACGUUGAGAUAGUGGCGUGCGGCUGUACCGGCGGCGCGUCGCCGAACAUCGACACCGGGAGUGAUGAGUUUCUUUGUGGAAUGCUCACCAGGAGAGCUGCAUGGGUCCGCGGCCGUGGUAUGACUUGCCCUCGACGCAGGGCCACUCCUUGUUUUCGGCGUCGCAGUAGUUGCUGGACGCAUUGAUCUCUUCCUUGAAGCAGAGGCCCCAUGAGUAGGGCCCGUCGGGCGCCGUCGACCACCCCCCGGUGGUCUCGUGGGAGAUCUGCGCCAGGAAGGCGGCGACCUCGCGCCUGCGCGUGUCCGCGUCGACGUGGUGGGCGCCGCUGCCGAACUCCGGGAACCACUCCGCCGCCGUGACGAAGGAGUAGUAGUUGUAGAACCCCUUGGCUGGGCAGGCAGUGUUGUCCUUGUGCAGGAACAUGCUCGAGAACAUCUCCUCGGUCACGAUCGAUGAGAUGUGGUGGCGGCGGCCGUAGCGGCCGCGGAAGACGUGGCGCCACCCGGGCCACUGCCACGAAAACGCUUCCGCGACGCCGACGUUCAGGAUGAGGGUAGCGGCGGCCAGGGAGAAGGCCAGCAGGACGGGAGGAAGAAGCAAGCGCGCCAUCCUCGUGGCUAGCUCUAGAAGCUUAGAGCAUUGACGGCGGCAAGGGCGGCAGCAUCUGAGCAGUGUGAAGCCUGAGCUUAUGUAGGGGAUGCAUAUGCGGUGCGGUGGUGAUCUGAGAACGUGGCACGUGCGGCGCGGUGGUAUCGGCGUAGUGGCCGGACAGAGAACACAGCGACCGGGGUGGCGGCUACUGGCAAGGUUCUUUUGCAUGCGGUGAUGGGGUUUGACUUGAUCUGGGGACAAUAAUUGUUCUGGCCUUCGGGAAAUGAGCUAGGUCAAUGGCUUCCUCGCUUAGUGGGUCAACGAACCGGAGGCAUAGAAACAUGUGGCGUCGGACAUGCUCCAUGUUAGCUCAAGAUGCCAUCUUUUUUCUUUGGACGCCCAAUAAUGCCCCAAACGUUCGGUCUGGGGAGGAGCCUGCUUUUCCCUUUACUCACAGAAAACACUGCUUCCCCUUUUUUUUAAGAACAAUUCUCUUCGCCAAAACCUAAGAAAAACCAAUGAAAACGGAAAGCUAAAAAAACAAAUCUUUUCCUAAUAAUAAAGCACAGAUUGAUUCCGUGGGAUCACCGUCACAAUGCGCUUCUUUCCGUGAAUUUACGCUUUCAGGAUUUUGUACUUAUUCCCUAAUCUUUCCCUAAUAAUAAAGCACGGAUUGACUCCAUGAGUUCACCGUCACAAUACGCUUCUUCCCGUAAAUUUACGCUUUCAGUUUUUUUUACCUCAAUACGCUUCUUCUCGUGAAUUUACGCUUUCAGUUUUUUUACCUAUUCCCUAAUCUUUCCCUAAUAAUAAAGCACGGAUUGACUCCGUGGGUUCAUCAUCACAAUACGUUUUUUCCCGUGAAUUUACGAUUUCAGUUUUUUUUACCUAUAUUAUUUUCUACAUCCGAGGUGGUACUAUUCUCUGACCUUUUUGGUUUUUUUGGUAAUGUAUGUCCAUCCCAGAAUCGACACUACUAGGAAAAGGGCUAUAGAUGGGAUGGGCACUAAUGGCGCACUGUACAUGUGGUGCGCCAUUACUAAAUACUAAUGGCGCACCAUGUGUUGGUGCGCCAUUAGUGUGCAAAUACUAAUGGCGCACCACAUCCCACGGUGCGCCAUUAGUAAUUUUUUUUAAUUUUUUCAAAACUACUAAUGGCGCAUCGUGAGAGUGGUGCGCCAUUACUUGCUAUGUGCUGCACCGACCGGCCCUGAUUCGAGAGAAUCCAAUCCAACCAAAGCAACACAACACAACACAACGCUUCCUCCUCCUCUCCCCUCGAAUCGAUCCCCUCCAAACCCGCCGCCGCCGCCGUGGACCUCCUAUCCCCAUCCCCACCGGCGUUCUCGUCUCCUCUAGCCUCACCCUCGACCUCCCGCCCCACCCUGCAUCCCGUCGCCGGCGCCCCCACCCUCUCCCCUCUCCGCCUCUUCCUAGGAGGGAGCGAGGCCUCAGAUCCACAGGCCGCAGCAACCACCACCACCGUGUCCUACUCCUUCCACCCCACCUAGCCGCCCUUCGCCUCCACAGCUCUCCGUCCCUCCCUCCUUCCUCGCGCCCGCAGCCAUGUCGACCGAGCUCAGGACCUCUCUCCUCUAAGACCAAAACGCAGGCAGCAGGCCAGGGCGACUUCAGCGCCCCCACAACCGGAGAGGAGGGAAGAGGAGGCGGAGAUGCUGCUGCUGCACGGGCUGACGGGGAAGAACAAGCAGGCGUGGAAGGAGGGCAAGAUCCGCGGCACGGCGGUGCUGGUCAAGAGCGGCGUGCUCGACCUCGGCGACUUCAACUCAUCCGUCCUCGACAGCGUCCACAAGAUCCUCGACG